rnacentral:lncRNA from 1 species
CCACAGCUCCAAAAAUAGUUCUAUAAAGUAAAACCUCCCUAAUAAUUUUCUAAUAAAAAAUAAUUAUUUUCUAUAUAAAAAAUAAUCUCACCAUCCUAUAUAUAUAUAAAAUAAUUAAAUUUUACAAAUGCACUCGUAAGUCACAUAUUAGCAUCAAAGUAUUGUUUAUAGUUGCUAUACUUUUUAUAAUACCCAACCAAAAAUAAUGUAUGUAAUUAUAAUUAUUGUAUUUUUAAUUAUAUACAUCUGGAAUUAUACUGAAUGUAUUAUUAUAUUUAACUAAAUGGUCCCUUAUGUGGAGGCAAGUAUAAAGGAAUUAAAAUAAUGCAGUGUUUAUUAUCCAUAAAAGAGAUCCUCAGAGAGCUUAAUUUAUCUACAAAUGAAUUUUAACACAAUACAUAAACUGUACAGUUGUCAUCAAUAUUACUACCUAAUACAACUGCCGUAUAACUCCAACCUCCUUUUUUCUGAUGUUAUUUGGUACAUACAACAAGAAACAGUAGUGCACAAGAUUAAAUCAACCCUACUCUCCGAUUCAUGGAAAGAAUCACUUAAUCAGCUUACACAAAACCUCCCUCUAUUUCUAACUCUAGAAAAAAUGAAAACGAAGGAAAAACAAAAAAAAAAAACGAAAAGAAAAAAAAAGGAACAGUGGUAGAGCACAUGGAAGAUGGUGUGGAUGCUACCAGCUAUGCAACUCAGGAUCCUCGAAAACUUUGAAUUGCUGUCGUGCAGUGACCAUUAAUAUUUAUGAGAGAAUCGAUUUCAAAGUUCCUUAGCAUGAGGCUUAGGCAAUGCACAGGGGUGAGGAUUUCCAUCAGUUGAAUUGAUACCGUUGAGAACAAUUGAUUCAGAGCUAGUUUUAGCUGAUGUGAUGCACUUUGAAUGUGGAGAAAGCAUAGUAGUAACUAUUUCGGCAUUGGAUGGCGGUGAAGUACACACUGCUGCUAGCUUUGAAGUCUCACUAUAAGAGUGGUUUGUUUUACUGUUAAAAGAGACAAAAUUAAUAUGGUUAGAUGAAUUACCAAAUGCAAGAAUAGGAACAUUUUUCUCGUAAUUAAUAAACCAACAUAGGUUAGUUAAAAAGAAAUUAGUGUCCAAAGUUGGAUCCCAAUUUCAGUAACAUCCUGACAAGUUUCAUCAGUUUUCUCAAUUUAGUCCUCAGAGCUUCGUCCAACAGACUUUUUGCAAAGGACCAAACUUCGGUUGUCAGAGGCUAAGUUGCUGAUAUUAAAACUCUUGAGGACCAUUUAUAUCGGGAUCAAACUUUACGAACUCAACUCAUAAUUAAGCCUAUUCACUAGCAACAAGAGAAAUUACUAGUGGUUACCCAUUGGCAGACGGUUUUCCUCUCACACACGAGUCGCUUUUAGAGGACUUUGUUUUGUCUCUAGGGUUACAUGUAGGAUCCUGUCCAGUAAUUGGAGAUAUAGGUUUAAAUAUACUUGGAGCUGCAAAAUUUGAAACAAUCUAAGAUUGAAUUGGAUAAUAUAACCCUUACAAUGAGCUUAAUCCCUGCAAACGAGUGUAUUGAACCAUGGAGGUUGUAGUGAUGUGAGUUCCGAAUAAACGGAUGGUCCAAUAGCAUGGUUGCUGUUGGCCUAUCCACAGGAUUCCUACGAAAGCAGCGCCGGAGAAAGUCCUUUCCCUCAGAGGAUAAUCUGUCAGGUAUUGGUGGGUCUUUGUGCAAAACCCUGAACAUAGCUGCAGCCUAGGACAAAUCAAAUUUAAAAAGGAAUAAGAAUUUUAGUGCUCACAACACAAACAAGCCAAGCGCUUGCAGCAGAUGAUAUUUCCUACAUAUAUAUUAAUAAACGGAGCCGAUCACAAUUGUAGUCCUCAGAAGUUGAAAAGUUUAAAAUAGGGUUUAUUUUCGAUUAAUUAUGGGUUAUAAUUGGGCUUAUUAACUGAAUCUUGAAAAUACCCCUCAGCAGUUUGAAACAUCAGAAAUACCCCUGUAAACUAGAUAUUCUUGAAUGAUUUGUUCUAAUUUUGACGGUACCCCUAAGUUUGAAAGUGUUGAAUAUAUCGCUCGCAAGGUUGGGAUACCUCUGUUACAUGCUUAUUCUUUCAUGAAUGCCCUUUACAGAGGACACUUAUUAAAAUCAAGCACAUUUUUAGGGCCUUUAUGAUACUCCGAGAGCAUUUCUUCAAGUAUUUUCAGUGGGUUUUUAUACUACCUUCAACUUUUGAUGGGCAUGCAUGAAAAUAUGAGUCAGUAGUAUACGUGCUUUUUUCCAUAAAUUAUCCUACAUCUCAAGCCAGAAGGAAAAACAGUAUUACCCCUUCAAGGCCACUCCAUGGAUGUUUUCCAGUGAACAUUUCAAUGAUGGUACAUCCCAAACUCCAAAUGUCUACAGCAAGAUCAUAACCAGCAUCUUUCUUCAUUGUAGCCUGUACAACCUGCAAUAGAGAAAAGCAGAGAGUGCAAGAGUUAUCAAGGAUGCAACGGCAACAAGUGUUGAUAUGAGUUGAGAAUUUAGUGGGUUAAAAUGCAAGUUUAAAGCCCCAGUUAUAUUGUGAUAAGCAUAUUAACCUUUCCUUGAGGUAAAGUGCAAGGUCUUCUAACAAACCGAGGGGUUAUUUGUAGACUUUGAUUAUUGAAAAAGGUAGAGUGCAUAUUGCAACAUAUCCAGGGAUUUUUCUUCAGCUAAGCCAAUUCGGAACCAGAGAAUAAAGAACCUGAGAGUUCAGAUAAAAUGUACCUCGGGAGCCAUCCAAUAUGGUGUUCCCUUCAAUGAAAGAUUGGGUGCAGCAUCACUCAACUGCAGGAACAAAAAGAAAAGGGUCGUACAAAUAUGUUAGUCAUUCUAUUUUUCUGGUCACAAAUGGUGAGCUACUAAUGGAAAAUCUCUAACAACAAAUUACUUAAUCCAAUAAUUUAGAUAUAGAAACCUGGCAGGUUUCUGCAUAGAAAUCUCUACUUUGAGAGGCAAAUUACUGUCCUGAAAUGAGGAUUACCAAUUAUUGUGGAGUGAGUUCUUGCUUAUGAGAUUCGUGUAGGUAAAGUUGAAUUAACAUACCCACAUACACAAAGAGGACAGUCCUUCAUCUAAGAAUUACAUAAAGCUAUAAAAAAGCCAACACUCACAUGUUUCGCCAUCCCAAAAUCAGCCAACUUGACAACACCAUUUGCAUCCACAAGUAAAUUGGCUCCUUUAAUAUCCCUGCCAGAAGCAUUUACCUUUUUAGGGUACGAAAAUUCAAGUUUGACCUCAAUAUUAUGAACAGAAAGUCCUUUUACGAUACAAACACACAAAGAGAUGCACAUCCACACAAAUAUUCUCUCCCUCCAUUCUCUCUCCCUCCCUCCCUCCUCUCUCUCUCUCACACACACACAUACGCAUUACGAUACAAACACACAAAGAGAUGCACAUACACACAAAUGCACUCUCCCUCCCUCCAUCACACACACACAAGAAGGGACAAACAUCUCUCUCUAGAAAGGCUAUCGUACAUAUAGGACAAAGAACAAAAGAAAAGAUGCAAGCUAAUUAUUUCUGCUCAAAUCUGGAAUAAAGGUACGUACCGAUGCAUUAUCUUCUUGCUAUGCAAGUAAGUCAGUCCAUUAAGAAUAUGACGAGUGAAAUUACGAACCACUGAUUCUGUCAUAGCUCCACAAUGUUGACGGACGUAUUUGUUGAUUGAACCAGGAUGAACAUACUCCAAGUAUAUGUGAAAACGAUCAUCAAUCUGCAAGCAUAGAAUAAUUAAAUCCAUUAAAUUGCAUUUACAAUAACUUCAAGAGUUCCAAAUAUAAAUCCAUUAAAUUGCAUUUGCAAUAACUUAAAAGAGUUCCAAAUAAAAAAAAAAAACAGUAAAGAAAGCUCACAAUUUCACUCCCAUAAUAUUGCACUAUAUUUUGAUGCUUGAAUUGACUAAGAAAUUUUAUUUCCUGCAAAAAGGCAAAAGAAUUGAUUAAACCCACUCUUCAAGCAGCAAUAAAAGAUGAAUCGUUAUUCACAAUCAUUACAAGAAAAAAGAGGAAAACAUUUAAACAGUAAAGUGAUUCAACAAAUAACCGAAAAGUCAAGAAAGUACAUCUUCUCUAUUUGUAGCAACAUCUUUCCAAUUCAUGUCACCUCCAGAAAAUAACUAGUCUUAAAUAUAUUGAGUUACUAUUCAUCUUGGAUUCAAAGUAAACUGACUGUGAUCUUCACCAGAAUGUGACUCUUGGAUGACAAAAAGAACUAACCUGCUCUAACUGCUUCAAACAUUCUGCAGAUUUGGAGUCGUCCGCAAUAAUAUUGACUUCCUUCAUUGCACACAAAGCUCCAGUUUGCCUACAAAAAAGACAAUAAUAUUAAAAAAAAAAAAAGUAAUGGUUCAAUCAAAAAGAGACCAGUGCAACCCUGCAACUUUGUCUAGUCACACGUAUACUGUUGUGAAAUUGAGAUUUCAUAUAGCUAUUUGACUUAAUUUAAAUACAACAAUUACCUUUUCUCCCAAAAAAAAAAAAAAAAAAAAAAAAAACAACAACAACAACAACAACAGAUACCCAUCUUCACAAAACCCAACUUUCCCCAUGAAUUGGAUGACUCCCCAUCUUACGGGUAUUUGUGAAAGCAGCUACAUUAUUGAGGGUUACACAUAUCAUAUCAUUCAGAUUUUGCAGGCUUACCUAUGUAGACCAAUGAUAUUGCAGGUGUACAUAUAGAAAAGCCCCAAUUAAACAAAAAAAGAGAAAAAAAUGAGAACAGCCAUCAAGCAGGACAUACCUAUUGGUGGCAACGUAAACAUUCCCAAAUGUACCACUCCCAAUAAGUUUCCCUUUUUGCCACUGACCGGUCAUUGGAGAAGCCUCAGCUUUCAAUGCACUUCGAUGAGCAGCAGGGGAAUGCAAAGGAACUGCGGCUCCAGGAGGGAGAGGCAGUGGGUGAACAUUAGCACUCCCAUUACUGUCAUGCCGCAAAACAGAAUUAUCUGGAAACAUUUUAGAAUGGACUGGUGAUGGGGGAGCACUCGAAUCGCUUGAUCUCCAUAUUGUAUUCUUUGUUGUUGGACUGUAACGGGCCGAACGGCCAGAAUUACUGAAAAUUCUUUCAGGUGAAGUUUGGCACGAGAGAGUAGUUGUUGUUGAAUCCAUGGAAGGGAUUGCCGGAGCUGACCAAAUAUUAAGUCCGUUACUUGAUCUUCGAGGGCUCCGAACUGGGCUUGCAAGCCCACUGGUUGGAGCACUUUUUGCAGGUAUAUUCAAUUUAAAAUCCUCCGUUUCAGUUGUAUCCAUGUCCUGGAAUAGCUUUCGAUGAUGAUUAUAGGCUGAUCCAUUUGAUAGUACAUCACUGCCCCCUGUACUUCUUCGAGCAGUUUGGUAUGCCAACCUAACAUGCAUCACAAGAAUAAUUAUGAGUUAUAAGGUCCUAAAAGGUACCAGCAUAAUGCUACAUAACGAACCAAAUGUGAAACAAAAUCAUUUGGCUGUUCACUAUCAAUUACAGAACCCGGCUACUGAAUGUAUUUAUUUUGUUAUGAGAAAGAAAAGUGAAAUAUUUGGCUUAUAUUGAAAAAGGCCGUUGAAACAAUUGAAGAAGCUGUUAAGAACAAGCAAAGGAUAAUGCAAUAAACAGAAAAGCGGUAACUUUUGAACAGGAGCACUGAGUAAAACACAGGAUAAUGCAAUAAACAGAAAAGCAGUAACUUUUGAACAGGAGCAUGGAGUAAAAUCUCUGAGUAACAAUCUAACGCAGGCCUAAGCCGCGUUGAGAGGGAAGAAGCAUAAGGACAGAAAGAGAGGUAUGUGAAGAACACAAUUCUUCGACAAAGGGAAAAAUAUUAUUGAUCAACUCUAAAAACUAAUUACAUUAACCGUACGCCAAGGAUUUAAGUGCCGUGGCACGGAGUCGUGCCAGAAACUUGCCGGCAUGGUAUGGCAUGGUGCGUGCCGGGCCAUGCCGAUGCGUGGCGGUCACAAAAAAUGUGUGUGCCGACAGGUAAUGGCAUGAAAUAUUUAUUUUCUUUAGCAACAAAAUAUGCCAGUUAUUUAUUAUGUAUUUUUAUCAAAUUUUUUGAACUUUAUUGAGAAAAUUACUUAUUAAUGUCAAGAAUAGAGGGUUUUGAGUUGUGUCAUCGGCACGGGGGCUGUAUCGUGCCGAUAUCUUGCUGGCACGGUGAAUACAGCCCGUGCCGAUGGGCACUUUAAUCCUUAUCGUACGGCGUACGCCACAUAUAUAUAGAAACAAAACCUGAAUCCUACUAUGAUAGAAGAUAAUAAAAUAUAUAUAUAUAUAUGUCUAAAUCUAAACCAAUAAGAAAUAAGUAAAUAACUAGACUCAAAAUAGAAAAAAUACAAAACUUCCCAAAUAUAUCCUAAAAAUGCAAAUUCGGAGCCCUAAAUAGUUAAAUUGUCUUGAAAAGUGUUUUCCAAAUUGAAAUUGCACGUUGAAAACGGACACCCGAGCGAAAAUUUAUGGCCGUUUAAAGAUUUUUCCAUGCCGAUUGUAAAAACUGCCGAACUCAAUAUGAUUUUUGGCCUAGCUUGGUUAAGUCACGCUUUUCCAUGAAUUCUAAUGCUAAAUUGGCCGCAUCACAAUCAUUUACCUUUCAUCUUAGACUAGCAAGAAACUUCUGCUUCAGUGAAACAUUUAGGCUUCAUCUAUCUAGACUUCUUCUUUUUUAAAGCUCGAAUUUUACAUGAUUAGAUGCAUCUGGAUAUACUUGAUUUUCUUCCUGUUGUUAGUUAGCUUGCAAUGCGACUAGGCAGGUGAAAAGCAAAGCAAAAACUGCCAAUACAGACUCCUUUGGAUAGAAGGCUUUUUUUGUUUCUCUCAAUUGAAAUUCAGUUGUUAGCAGAUGGCGGAUUGCUCACAGUCCAUGCAUCUAAAAUUUUUAAACAAGAAGCUAUCCUGCAUCCAGCAGCGGCUACCGCAAGUGACAAGAAUAGAGAAGUCUAUCUGCUGACACACUUAAUCACAUAAAACUUGCAUUUAAGACCAACACGGUGCUACCUUUUUGCAUUUCUGUUUUAAAUGACAAACAUAGGUGUAUAGAUUGCCAACUUUCUGCUGCCUGGCCAACCCAUUUAAUGGCAUAGACCUUGAGUUUAAAUAUUUGAAUAAACACAAGCAAAAUCAAACAAGGUAUUACUAUGUAAAAAAGGAAAAGGCAUUGACCAAGAGAAGACAUCAAACAUUUUCAAAUGGAGAACCAUCAAACCACAAUAGCGAAUUCCCACAUGAAUUAUAGCCAACAUCACCACCACCACCACCACCACCACCACCACCAAACCACCAUCGCCACCACCAGAGCAUAUGUACCCAUCACAACAACCACCAUCGCCACCACAACCAGAACUACCACAGGUUGGUUGGACUGCCGAGAAACUGUAAACAUUUUCGAAAAUUCCACCACUACCACCACCUUUACUACCAUCAGUGAAGGGCAACCAUUAGCAAUACCAACACAAUCACUACCGCUGCCACUAUAUGUUAAUUGACAAUAACCAACGAUACCGCUGCUUAUGUUAAUUGACUAUAAUCAACGAUACCGCCGCUACAAAUAAACCGCAACUGCUUGGGAACCCACACCAUCCGCCAUCAACUCCCUCACUACCAUUAAACUUAUAGCUCAUUCCGAACAGUCAAUUUCAUAGGAAUGAAUGAACCUUCUUUUCCUUCCAAACAAAUGAACUCAACUCUACAAUAUUCAAUUCAGUUAGCUUUUAAUUACAAAUCACUUCAAUUCUAUCUGAAUUCAACCAUAAGUUACAAUUCCGACCAAAAACUAGUAAAUCACUUGAUAAUGCAAUACGAUUAGAAAAGAACACAAAAAAAUUUCGCUUACCUCCCAACAGGCGAUACCGACGAGGCCCUCUCGCCUCCGACCGGCUCACUGAGAGACAAUCGCACACAAUCCCUCGCCGAGACAAUCCCCGCCUCUCCCUCCGCUCUACCCGGCCACCCUCUCGGCGAAGGGAGGGGGCAACCGACGGAGCUCAAUUGGGCGGCAGCAGCGGCGGCCUCCGGAAGCGGAAGCGGGUGCGGUGACAACACCGGCGGCGACGAAGACGACCUCGGCGGCGGCGGGGAGCGAACGGGGUCGGCGGAGGAGUCGAAGGAGGCCAAGGAGCCGAGCUCGGCGUCGUCGAGGUAGCGGAGCUUGCGCUGGCGCGUGAGGCGCGGCUGCGACUCACGGCCGCGGCUCGGCGACGCGGCGGAGGAGACGGAGGAGGCGGUGGAGGAGGAGGAGGAGGAGGGGGGGGGAUUGGAGCUCUUCCACCAACGCAUCUCGACGCGGGUGGAGGAGGAACAUCGUAAGCGGGGCAAAGUGGGGGAGGAGACGAAACCCUAACCUUAACCCUAGAACAUGUCACUUCGCCAUGAUCGGGGGUGGGGAACGGAACCCUAGAUCGGGGACGAGCGGGUUGAGGAAGGAAGACGAGACGAACCCCGUCUCUCUCUUUUUUAUUUUUUUUUUCAUAUUCUUUAUUUCUUGCGCAACAAUAUUUUCCGUAGACCGAUCUGAGCACGUGACCAUGAACUAAACGCGUACUGAGCGAAUCCUCCGCUUAUGAAUGGACGACGAAGUGUAGGUGGGACGGGGUCUAGUAGACGGGGUCCACCUAAUUGACUACGUGGCGCACGUGGGUGUUGAGGGUUAUGGAUUUAGCAGAGGCGGUUCGAAUCCUCGCUGUGAAAAUCCAACGACGGCAAAAGCACGAAGUUGUUUUGGUUGUUGUCUCGUUGAACAGCUCAUACAACGGCCCGGCCCGGCCCGGCCCGUUUCCAAUUUAUUACCGUAAUGAGACUCGUUAUUGGGCCGGCCCAUUUGAAGAGCAAAUUUUCUUCUUUUUUUUUUUAAGGUUUUUUUUAGUAUAAAUAUCUACAUGCAAAAUACAUGAAAGGAAAAUGCUAAGACAAGUAGAAAAAUCCUUUAUUUUUUGAAACUUUUUUAUAAAAAUAACAAGGGAUAAGACAAGUCAAAAAAUUUACAUCCUAUAAAAGCUUAGGGAUAAGAUUUAGACCUUUGAUAUAGUGAUAUUUGCCUACGUAUUACUAAAUAUCUUUUUUUUUUUAUUUGCGUCGCUGCACUUGUCUAAUUUUUUUAUAUAAAUUUUUUAGAAUUUUUAAUAGACCUGCUGAUGUGAACAUGCAUGCCAAUAAACAAUAAUUAUUUGCAAGAAACCAGUGCAAAUAAAUACCAACUGUAGGGAAAUGCUUGUGCAUUUUAUUUUAUUUUUAUUUUGCAAGGGUAUGUGUGAAAAAAAAAAAAAGAAGAAAUGAUUCAUUGUUGCCUAGACCACGUGACGCGAUAAUGCAAAGGAAAAUAAUAAUAAUAAUAAUAAACUUAAGCUUACAUGCCCUCGUACAAAUCAUGCGAGCACAUCGUGAGGCAUUAUUCUCGGCCCAUUUUUCAAAUGUCUUAAUUACUGAAUAAUUAAACAAAUAAAUCCUAGCCAUCUAAUGGGCGUUCACUCGGAGAGUCGACCAGCUAGUAACAAUAAUUUAUUAGAUCCAUAAUCUCUUAUAUAUCUAAUCAUAAUCUAAUUCUCAAAAUUAUCAGGUGAUAACCGACCGUUCCUAGAACAAGUGGCAAAGGACUUGGUGGUUGAUAUUGGAGACCCAAGUUCGAAUCUUAGUUGAUUCAUAUUUUCAGCUAAGUUUAUUUCUAAAUGAAAUAAAUGAAGCGGGUAACGUGCCACCUAUCUCUCUCAAAAAAAAAAUGAAGAAAGAUUAUUAGAUGAUAUAAGACUUGUUUGAUUAGCAACAGUCCAAGAUUAUCAGAUGAUAUAAGAGUAUUCGAGACCCAAGUUCGAAUCUUAGUUGAUUCACAUUUUCAGCUAAGUUUAUUUCUAAAUAAAAUAAAUGAAGCGGGUAACGUGCCACCUAUCUCUCUCAAAAAAAAAUGAAGAAAGAUUAUCAGAUGAUAUAAGACUUGUUUGAUUAGCAACAGUCCAAGAUUAUCAAAUGAUUUGAGACUUGUCUUGUUAGUUUUGUAUUCUAAUUCAGCCUAUCACCUUGUGAUUUUGAUCUUGACUUAGCAUGUCCUCUUAUAUAUCCAAUCAUAAUCCAAUUCUCAUCUAAUGUGGGACUAUAUAUAGGCCAUGACGUCUCACACACACAGCCCAAAAUCCAAUGAUGUGAGAUUUGUUUGACUAGCUACAGCCCAAAAUCAUCAUGUGAUGUGAGGCUAGUCUUGUUGUUUUGUCAGUUCGAUCAUGACUUAGUUUGUCAUCCUACCAUUUCAAUUGUGGCUUAGUCUGUUAUUCCGACCUACUUCUGACCGGUAAUCGACUUUGAUAUCAAAUAUAAUGAUCCGAUCCACUAAUAAUAAUAACUUGUUACGUCUAAACCACUAGUUCAAAAUAUUUAAAUCUAAUUAUUAUUAUAUUACUAGUGUCCAUAAUCUCUUAUAUAUUCAAUCACAAUUCACCAUCUAUUCACUACGAAAUUAUUAAAGUGUCACACAAAAUCAAAAAAAUUCAAUUACACAAGCGCGUAAUGGCACGGGGGAGUAACUGCUUUGAAUUCGCAGCUCCUCCACGGGGAGUGUAAUGAUGAAGAGCAAUGAAUACAAACACCAUCUAAUGUUUUGUUUACUCCACCGCGUUUUGAGCUGGACCCGCCGAAUCCAAACACCGCCGAAAAUCGCUGCGUGAUUUGCUUCAUAAUCCAUAAGUUUUCCUUAAAAAAGAAAAAAAAAAAAAACCUCCAAUGUAUAAACUCUAAUUUAUAUAUAGCCUCUAAUUUUUAUGCACUUUGUUGAAUAACAAUACAUUUUAUAGCAGGAUAAACACUGCUACAUAUUAAGUACCACACACAGAAUUAGAGAUUUUUUAAGAGUAGAAACGGGUUCAAGUGAAAGAUACGUUAUGAAAGUAAAUUUACUCAUCGUUCGCUAACUAAAAAGAAUAAAAUAAUAACAUAGUAAAAGAUUAAAAACUGGUUAUAAUAAAAAGAAUUAGAAAGUGCUAAACAAUUGAUUAAAAUUGGAUUUCCUUCAAUUAGAUGCAUUUAUUCUGGUCCAUGCUACGUGAUGAACGGUGGUGGUUGAGUGUAAGGUACACAUUUUUAAAUUAUUAUUAUUUAUUUGUAUUAUUCUUAUUAUUUGGGAAAGAAUGUAACCAUCUAAAGAUGUUUACUGUAGAAAGAUGUACUUAUUGAAUUAAACCAAUGGUAAGAAGGCACGUAUGCGGCGGAUGUAUUUUUUUUGUACAGUGGGGUUGUAGCGAGUUUGUUUGCUCCCAAGUCCCAACUGUCCCCGGAUCCAAAUCCAUUAUUUCGCCGUGGAUUCGACGCAGUGGUUUGGUUCACUGCCCACACUCAUUCCCACGCACCGCCCAUCUUAUUGCGUGGACCGUGUCUACCACGUCAUCCGCAAACUUGGCCAGAAGUAGCUCGGUUUGAUACCAUGUUUAAAAAUUAUAAAAUAAUUAAGUAGAGUUUUUUUAACCACUUGCAACGGUGAAAUUAAUUUUUUGAUGUUUGAGAUAAGUUUUAUAUAAUUUCAUCAAAUAAUAAUUAAAAUUAGCUCUAUUAAAAUUAGCUUUAUUUUUUAUUUUUUUAGGGUAAAUUUUAAAUACCAUUUUUGUCGCUUCGUAUUUUUCUCACUUUAGUAUUCUAUGAUUUAAAAUGUAUCAAUUUAGUAUCCUAUGUUUNUUUUGUCAAUCCCAUCGUUAACUUUUCGUUAAAUUAUAUACAAAAAACUUAUGAUACCCCAACCAUAGUUUGUCGAAUAUAUUUUUUAGUACUUUUAGUUUUAACUUGGUCACUGAUUUAACGAUGACAAUUAGUGGAGGGAAUAAUAAAAAUAAAAAAAAUAAAAUCAUAAGAUACGAAAAUAAUACACUUUAAAUUAAGGAUUUUAAGUGCUCGUCGGCACGGACCGUAUCCAUCGUGCCGUACCGUGCGAACAAGAUAUCGGCACGAUAUAGAUUCCGUGCCAAUGGUACAAUUCAAAACCUUCUAUUGUUUAAAUUAGUAAGUGAUUUUCUCAAUAAAUUUCAAAAAAUAUGAUAAAAAGAUAUAAUAAAUAAUUAGAAUAUUUUGUUGUCAAAGAAAAUAAAUAUUUCACACUAUUAUGUAUCGGUACAUAAGAUUUUUUUUGACCGGCACGUAUCGACACAGCUCCGCACGCAUCGUGCCGGCAAAUUUCCGGCACGAACCCGUGCCACGGCACUUAAAUUCUUACUUUAAACUAUAAAGUACCGAAGUGAAAAAGUACAAAAUCAUAAGAGUGGUAUUUGAAGUUUUUUUUUAAUUAAAAAUNNCUUCUGUUUUAUGUGAUGGGCCUCUUGAGUGUGGCAGUUCCCGACACUCCCACUUGCGCUUGGGCCCGUGGAGUUGAUUAACGCUCCGAACCGGAUCCGGUUCCCGCGCGUACGCGCAACCGCGUCGAGUGCGGCGCGGUUGGAGCGGCGCGCGCCAAAAUGUUCCCAGCUGUAAAAUUAAAUGGAGGAACUGAGGCAAAAUUGUACAGACACCCCUCACUGAUAUCUAUGUUUGAAGUCGCCCCUCAGAUUUAAAUUCUACAUAUUUAUAGUCUUUAAUUUGUGACAUCAAAGUUAAAAAUUUAAAAAAGAAUCUCCGAGUUAAAGACUUAUUUUCAGAACUGCUAACUUUUGAGGGGUCUCCGUGCAUUUUUACCCAAUAGCAUCUACUACACUUACCGAUGUAGUGACCCCACCCCACCGCUCUCUCUCUCUCUCUCUCUCUUUCCCGCGUCUUUAUUUAAAACCCCAUCCCCCCACUUUUCCCCCUCCAUACAUACUCUCUCUCUCUCUCUCUCUCUCUCUCUCUCUCUCGAUCUCGAUCCCGAUCUCGAGGUCGACAAUGGCGAAUUCGCCGGCGCUUCUUCUCCCUCUCCUCCUCCUCGGCUUCGUCCUCUUCGUGGCCCCGCCGCUCCUCGUCUCCGCCGACGACCCCUACCGCUACUUCACCUGGACCGUCACGUACGGCGACAUCUACCCCCUCGGAUCCAAGCAACAGGUUGCUUCUCCUCCCCGAUUUUUGGGGAUUGAACCCUACUUUUAUGCAUCUAUUGGGUGUUUUCUAUGUGUGAUUCGGCUAAAGGAUCCGUUCUCGGGUUGUCUCUCUGUGUGUGUGAUGAAGGGGAUUUUGAUCAAUGGGCAAUUCCCGGGCCCCCGCAUCGAUUGCGUCACCAACGACAACAUUAUCGUCAAUGUAAUCAACAAGAUCGAUGUGCCCUUCCUCAUUACUUGGUGGGUGAUUCUUUGUUUUGUCUUUUCUUUUUUCGAUCUCUCUUACUCCUUUUCCUUUAAUUUAUGGGGUGAACUAAUUGCUCUUUAAUCCACUAGUUUUAGUUUGGGAAAGAACCCGGAUAACAUUUUUUUCCAUUUGCAAUUUGAUCCAAAAAUGUUGGUUAGUGCCAAAAAAGAAAAACUUUGGAUUACAAAAAUGUUAUUUAGUACCAAAAAGAACUACCCUUAAUGGUAUUUAUACAUUUCGUGAGGGUUUUUUUCCCCCCCCACACCAAAUUAAACCAUAUGGCCACAUUGCAAUGGAAAACAAGUUAGUGGGCAAUUUUUUUACUCGCUAUUAAGAAUACAAAUAUUGGGUUUUUAGGAUUUUAACCAAAUAAUAAUUAAUGGGGUUGUGGUGGUGUUGUGGACUACUAGGAAUGGGAUUAAGCAGAGGAAAAACUCAUGGCAAGACGGAGUAUUGGGCACAAAUUGCCCUAUUCCCCCAAAUUCGAACUACACUUACAAGUUCCAAACGAAGGACCAAAUCGGGAGCUUCUUCUACUUCCCCUCCGUCGGCAUGCAGAGAUCUGCGGGCGGUUUCGGCGCUCUAAAUGUGUAUCAGAGGCCGCUGAUUCCCGUCCCUUACCCCACCCCUAGUGGGGAUUUCACUUUACUCAUUGGUGAUUGGUAUAGGACCAGUCAUAAGGUAAUAUUUAUAGCAAGAUACUUGUUUCUUUUUUAAGGCAUUUCGGUGAACAUGUGGGUUGGAAUGAAUUUUAUUUGGUACAAUGCAUAUGUUGCAGGUGUUGCAGCAAACUUUGGAUUCGGGAAAAGAUCUAUCUUUCCCUGAUGGGCUUAUCAUUAAUGGUGGUCAGCCGACAGCCUUCAACGGAGAUCAAGGUACUCUUUGUUUUGAUGUUGAGGACAGUUCUAGUUUUCUCACAAGAAGCUCUUUUCAGUUUCAGGAGAUCUUGCAUGUAUACUCUGGUAAAAUUAUCUUUUCAUGGAGUAGGCCGUUUGAUUCUUAUUUGACCGUAUUAUUGCAGUUGCUUUAUUAAUCUCAAACACUUAAUUGAGCGUCUACAUCUUGUAUAUGAAAUUAAACUGCAGCUUACCUACAAAAUGUUCAUAUCAUAAUUGGGAAAGUGUUUUUGAAGGGCAUACACAAAAAGCUUGAUUUUACUGAGGGCCAGAUAUGAAAAUGGAGAUUUUACAUGCAUAUAAGUAUCUCAUGAUUUCUUCUCAAAAGAGGUAAAGAUCUCGUAUGAUAAUUUGGCUUCAUUGUGCAGGGAAAACCUACCUGUUUAGGAUCUCGAAUGUUGGGCUAACAAACUCCAUCAACUUCCGGAUUCAGAACCACAAGCUGAAGCUUGUGGAAGUUGAAGGAACGCACACACUUCAGAACACCUAUGACUCCCUUGACAUCCACGUGGGCCAGUCAUUGGCCGUCUUGGUUACACUUGAUCAGCCUGCCAAAGACUACUAUAUUGUUGCCUCGACCCGGUUCACCAGGAAGAUUCUUACCGCAACGGCGCUCUUGCACUAUAGUGGCUCGAACUCCCCGGUCACUGGCUCCAUCCCGCCCAGCCCUCCUUACCAAGUUCAUGGGUCCAUGCAGCAAGCUAGGACCUUUAGGUAAGCCAUUCAUGUGACUUUUAAGCUUGUUUACCCUUGCCUGAUUUUUUGCGAAAAUGCUGUUUAAGUGGAGUUUUUUCUUUUUUUUUGAGAAAAAAAAAAUGCUGUUUAAGUGGAGUUAUUUCAAUAUCCUUUAUCACUCUCCAAUACAGUGGAAGCUAAUGCUUCAAAGUGGACCUUCUGGUUUUGGGGGUACAAAAGCUUGUUUAGCUUCCUUGAAGCAUAAGCUCCAGAUUUUUUGCUAGUCUUGUUUUUGCAGCCUUCACUUUUUUAGUGUAGAGUUGCCUUCCAAGAAGGCAACUUCUCUCUACUCCAUGAAGCGAAAGUUAGGUGUUUGGCAAUAAAAAGCUUAGAAUUCCUAUUGGAGUUAAAAGUUGGAAUGAACUUCCAGGCCCUAGAAGCUUCUAUAAAGGAGAGCUGUUUUAGAGGAUUUUAAUAAAAAAAACUAUUGUUGUUUCUCCAAACAAGUCUUUUCUCAAACAACUCUUUUGAGGAAGCUCCAACGCAAUUAAACAUGCCCCAAGUGCAAAUUCUUUUAAGACGUGGAACAAGAUUCACACAAUGCAUAAUUGUUCUGAAUUACAGGUGGAACUUAACAGCAAGUGCGGCAAGGCCUAACCCUCAGGGCUCAUACCAUUAUGGGACUAUUCCUAGGGCAAGGUCACUACAUAUAUUUAAUUCCGCACCGAUGAUUGGUGGGAAGCAACGCUAUGCAGUUAAUGGUGUGUCAUAUGUCGUGCCUGAUACGCCUUUAAAGCUUGCAGAUAAUUUCAAUAUUGCAAAUGUGUUUGCUUGGGAUAGCCUCCCAUUUCCACCUACAGCUGGCCCAGCUGUACUUGGCACCCCAGUUGUUCGGUUCAAUCUGCAUGAUUUCAUUGAGAUAGUGUUUGAAAACACAGAAAAUACGAUCCAAACAUGGCAUCUUGAUGGCUACGACUUCUGGGUUGUUGGGUAAGAUUUUGAAUAGUGAAUGUUCUUUUUUUAUUUUGAUGUCCUUAUAUUUGUUUAUAAAUGUUUUUAUAACUCCUUGUUUUGUUUAUUGAUACUUGGAAAUUACCCAAGAAAAACUUUGCUUGUUUUAUUAAAAUGUUAGUGUUUGAAUUUUGCAGUAUUACCUUUGGGGGAAAAAAAAAAAGAAAAAAAAGUAAGAGGCGUGCGUUUAUUUUUCCUUUCCAAACCGUGAAUGAAAAUUGGCUAAGAAAUUUCUUAUCAUUUUCUAUAUAAAGAAGAACUAAAAUAAAGUAUUUUAUCAAGUGUUUAUCAAAUAUGUAAUUUAAAAUAAAUAACAGUGAUGCCCAAAUAGUUUUUUAUCGUACUUGCUGACGUAAUUUCUCACAUUUUUGCUCUAAAAUAUUAAUCAAUCUCCAAUGCAAGCAUCUUUGAAGGGCCUGUAAAGGUAAAUUCUCAUCAGUCUGUUCUAUAUUCUAGGUAAUAUUUCCAAAAGGACCCACAAGAUCGUCCAUGUAUCGUUAGCAAUUAUGGUAGAAGUUUAGGAGAUGAUUAGAUCUCAAGACUCGAGAGAGUUUCUUUGUUUCAAAUCUUGAACCUAUCUAUUAUUUUUUAUUCUACUUUUUUCCCUCAAAUAUAAGUAAAGAUGUUUCCUGAUAUUACGGAGUUAAUAAUAUUAAGUCUUUGAUUUAUAAAUAAUAAGUGUCGUUUGAUCUUAUACAAAACUUCUUAUACUUUUUAAAAUUUGUUUCUAUGCAGCUAUGGUUUAGGGAAAUGGACACAGAAUGUCACCAAGAGUUAUAAUUUGGUUGAUGCUGUCACCAGGCAUACAGUUCAGGUAAGAUAGUAUUUACUAUUUACUUGUCCAUUUCGUUAUUUCUAGUUUUAUCCAUCAGUAAUGCUAGUAACCUGAGAGGAUAUACACUCUGGAUGUAACUUCUAUAGAAGCUUUUCAUGUAUAUAUUUUCCUGUAAAAUCAUCUUUUUGCAUCUAUCUGACUCAUAAUUACACCUUUUCUGUAAGUUUAGUCAUCUACUUCAUGAGAAGACAUAUACUCUUGUAUAUCUAAUUUGAUGGGCAUGAAUGAUAACUCAGAUGUUAUAGGUAUAGACAUGUAUUUUGAGGGUUAUAUACAUGUAUCUCCACAAGAAAAUGGUCGUAAUCCUAUUACCAAAGCAACAUUUAUGUUAACAAGCUUUUUUGCUUAAUCGAUUUAUAGGUUUAUCCCAACGGAUGGUCCGCAAUAUUGGUAUCUUUGGACAACGAAGGAAUGUGGAACCUUAGAUCAUCGAUGUGGGCGAGGCAAUACUUAGGCCAGCAGUUCUACUUCAGAGUGUGGACUCCGCAGAAGAGCUACUCCAAUGAGUAUGACAUUCCCCCGAAUACUCUACUGUGUGGCAAGGCUGCUGGUCUCCACCAUUAGCAGAAAUUUACGCAACUAUUUUGUUUGUUGAACUAGUUUUCGUCACAAUGGGGUGACGGCAAGAGGCAAAAGAUUUUUAAAAAAACACAAAAACAGGAAGAAAUAUUAUAUUUCUUGAUUAAAAAGACAAAUGUAUUUGAUUUGUGAUUCUAUUGUUUUUCUCAAAAAAAAAGAAAAAAACAAUGUAUGGGCAAAAUUUGCUACUGAAAUUUGCGCCAGAUCUGCCUUUCUUAAGUCUAUUCAUGGUAGUCUAAUUCUGUUUUUAACAGUUGUAUUUCAUCUUUGGUGAGGAACUCUAUAGUUUUACUGUUGAUGAAUGCAUACUAACUACAAUACGUAAUCACAGUGAAGCAUUAUGACUGCUCUUUAACUUCUCUGGUUACGUACUCACAAACUUUGGUGAUUUGUCUUAGCUGUUUAUAGGCACGUAGAAUUGUUAGGGGUUACUUUUUUAGCUGAUACAUAAUAAUUAGUCCACGCCAAGUACUGCACUCCUUUGUAUUUUUAUCCAGAGGAACUGAUGUCUGCCAGAACAAUAUCUACUAUUGCAGAGUAAAAAGGAUUAAAAUAUGAUUAGAUAUAAUGUAUUGGCUCUGACAAUCAUAAAAUUACCAUCUUUACUUGUUAGUAAGCCUUGUGUUGAAAAUUUAGUUAAAUAUAAUAUAAAAUGUGAUUAAAACCUUAAUUAUGGCUCCAUGAGGGGGCAAAAUGGACAGCUAAAUAAUGAGGAAGCUUUUACUUUCUGUUAUUAGGAGUAUAAUCAAGCUUAGGCUUGUGGAGAUAAGAACUGCAAACAAAUCAGAUGAGAUCUUAGGGCAUUGGAAUGAGGGGCACAAGUUUUCGGUCGAUGGGGGCAUAUUAGGGAUGCAUUAUCGCUUAGAUCUGGGGGCUGAAAAUAUUGCUGAAAGUGAAGACUUUUAUGGUCAGUACUUAAGAAAAGAACUUCCACCAUAAACAAUCUACUUCAGAUGGGGGUGGAUGGGGGACUAAGCCUGUGUGUUUUAUGCUGAUGCUUACGAGACAGUUGAUCAUCUAUCUGUCAGAUGAUGCAUAUUUAGCAUAUUUUUAUUUGUAUCGAUACUUGAAGAGCCAUAAGAACUCACGACUUAUGACGACAUGCGGAUAAAUUUGAGCACUAUGGCGGCAAUCUGAUGAAUAAUCUGGCUGAAAAAAAACAAUAUAAUUUUAAAAUGUAUAGCUCAAACCCUAUGACAGUCAUCACAAAGAUCAAGAGCCUUAUGAAACAAUGAGGAAAGUUUUGUUAUCCUCAAAUUGUGCUCCUUAUUCUUAGGUUUAUAUAUAUAUAUAUAUAUAUAUAGAGUCCGGCUACUAUGCUAUUAAUAGCACGAAGCACUUGGUGCUACCAAAUUUUCCGCCGUUAGAUCUACCAUUUGGAUCAUUUUCACCCGUUAGAUCAUACUAUUCAACCAACCACCUACUCGACCCUAGGGGGCCCACAUUAUCCUAACCACACAUCUCUUAAUCCAAUGGCUAAAAACUUGGUAGCACCAACGACUUGGUGCUAUUAAUAGCAUAGUAGCCUAGUUCAUAUAGAGUCCGGCUACUAUGCUAUUAAUAGCACGAAGCACUUGGUGCUACCAAAUUUUCCGCCGUUAGAUCUACCAUUUGGAUCAUUUUCACCCGUUAGAUCAUACUAUUCAACCAACCACCUACUCGACCCUAGGGGGCCCACAUUAUCCUAACCACACAUCUCUUAAUCCAAUGGCUAAAAACUUGGUAGCACCAACGACUUGGUGCUAUUAAUAGCAUAGUAGCCUAGUUCAUAUAGAGUCCGGCUACUAUGCUAUUAAUAGCACGAAGCACUUGGUGCUACCAAAUUUUCCGCCGUUAGAUCUACCAUUUGGAUCAUUUUCACCCGUUAGAUCAUACUAUUCAACCAACCACCUACUCGACCCUAGGGGGCCCACAUUAUCCUAACCACACAUCUCUUAAUCCAAUGGCUAAAAACUUGGUAGCACCAACGACUUGGUGCUAUUAAUAGCAUAGUAGCCUAGUUCAUAUAGAGUCCGGCUACUAUGCUAUUAAUAGCACGAAGCACUUGGUGCUACCAAAUUUUCCGCCGUUAGAUCUACCAUUUGGAUCAUUUUCACCCGUUAGAUCAUACUAUUCAACCAACCACCUACUCGACCCUAGGGGGCCCACAUUAUCCUAACCACACAUCUCUUAAUCCAAUGGCUAAAAACUUGGUAGCACCAACGACUUGGUGCUAUUAAUAGCAUAGUAGCCUAGUUCAUAUAGAGUCCGGCUACUAUGCUAUUAAUAGCACGAAGCACUUGGUGCUACCAAAUUUUCCGCCGUUAGAUCUACCAUUUGGAUCAUUUUCACCCGUUAGAUCAUACUAUUCAACCAACCACCUACUCGACCCUAGGGGGCCCACAUUAUCCUAACCACACAUCUCUUAAUCCAAUGGCUAAAAACUUGGUAGCACCAACGACUUGGUGCUAUUAAUAGCAUAGUAGCCUAGUUCAUAUAGAGUCCGGCUACUAUGCUAUUAAUAGCACGAAGCACUUGGUGCUACCAAAUUUUCCGCCGUUAGAUCUACCAUUUGGAUCAUUUUCACCCGUUAGAUCAUACUAUUCAACCAACCACCUACUCGACCCUAGGGGGCCCACAUUAUCCUAACCACACAUCUCUUAAUCCAAUGGCUAAAAACUUGGUAGCACCAACGACUUGGUGCUAUUAAUAGCAUAGUAGCCUAGUUCAUAUAGAGUCCGGCUACUAUGCUAUUAAUAGCACGAAGCACUUGGUGCUACCAAAUUUUCCGCCGUUAGAUCUACCAUUUGGAUCAUUUUCACCCGUUAGAUCAUACUAUUCAACCAACCACCUACUCGACCCUAGGGGGCCCACAUUAUCCUAACCACACAUCUCUUAAUCCAAUGGCUAAAAACUUGGUAGCACCAACGACUUGGUGCUAUUAAUAGCAUAGUAGCCUAGUUCAUAUAGAGUCCGGCUACUAUGCUAUUAAUAGCACGAAGCACUUGGUGCUACCAAAUUUUCCGCCGUUAGAUCUACCAUUUGGAUCAUUUUCACCCGUUAGAUCAUACUAUUCAACCAACCACCUACUCGACCCUAGGGGGCCCACAUUAUCCUAACCACACAUCUCUUAAUCCAAUGGCUAAAAACUUGGUAGCACCAACGACUUGGUGCUAUUAAUAGCAUAGUAGCCUAGUUCAUAUAGAGUCCGGCUACUAUGCUAUUAAUAGCACGAAGCACUUGGUGCUACCAAAUUUUCCGCCGUUAGAUCUACCAUUUGGAUCAUUUUCACCCGUUAGAUCAUACUAUUCAACCAACCACCUACUCGACCCUAGGGGGCCCACAUUAUCCUAACCACACAUCUCUUAAUCCAAUGGCUAAAAACUUGGUAGCACCAACGACUUGGUGCUAUUAAUAGCAUAGUAGCCUAGUUCAUAUAGAGUCCGGCUACUAUGCUAUUAAUAGCACGAAGCACUUGGUGCUACCAAAUUUUCCGCCGUUAGAUCUACCAUUUGGAUCAUUUUCACCCGUUAGAUCAUACUAUUCAACCAACCAUCCACUCAACCCAAGGGGGCCCACAUCAUCCUAACCACACAUCUCUUAAUCCAAUGGCCAAAAACUUGGUAGCACUAGUGACUUAGUGCUAUUAAUAGCAUAGUAGCCUAGUUCUAUAUAUAUGUUCUAUGAUCAGGAGCACUGUACUGGCCAACAUUUAUAGUUGCUGUUGCUGCAUCCAUUAUUGCCAGCCAAGCUCUGAUAUCCGGCACAUUUGCGAUAAUAUCGCAGUCGCAGACUUUGGGCUGCUUUCCGAGGGUCAAAGUAAUGCACACUUCUGCAAAGUAUUAAGGGCAGGUGUACAUUCCAGAAAUCAACUUUGUGCUCGCAGUUGCUUGUGUCAUCGUAACGGUGGUCUUUCGAUCGACGGAAAAGAUCAGCAAUGCGUGCGGUGAGAGUUAAAUUUCUGCAUUCUCAUCAACUAGAUUCUUAAUUACUGUUUGGUCGCGUAUAGUUGUAAGCCUGUAACUACACUACAGUUAUAACUGCAUGUAAAUUCAAAUUUGAUAUGCAUUUCUCGACUACAAUACAUGCAUAGUCGUACUUGCUGUAUCUACAACUACAUGCGCCUCUGACUGAACUACAUUUCUAAUAGUAUCUAAGUUUUGACAAAAUACAUACGAAGAUACUGCGAAGAAAUAAAUGGAAGGCUAGGUAUUGAAAUCAAAUAUUUCCAAGUCAACACUAUUUUUUGAAAUGUGCUACAGUUGGACACUCUUUGUACAUUUAUAAUAUGCUCACCUAAUACUUGCAUAAUCCAAAUUUAUAAGGAGGGGAUUAUUAAUUCUUUUUGUCAUUGUAAUGAAAAACUCUGUUACGACAUAAACAAAUUUAAGGGUAUAGUCAUUCAAAAAUAAACUAUAUCAAAUUGGUGUCCAAUGAUUUCUAUGUACAGAAGCUUUGCAUUCGAAUCUUGCAGGAAUCGCGGUUGUUUUUGUGAUGCUGAUCACAACAUUCAUGGUGGCACUCAUAAUGCUUCUCAUAUGGAAAACAAGCAUCUGGUGGAUCACACUAUUUGUGAUAGCAUUCCGCGGAGUGGAGUUAGUGUAUCUAUCUUCGGUUCUGUACAAGUUCGCGCAAGGCGGAUACUUACCGCUAGCCUUCGCAUUUAUUCUGAUGAUGAUGAUGGGCAUAUGGCAUUAUGUACAUGUGAAGAAGUACAGGUUCGAACUUUGCAAUAUAGUUUCAAGAGGCUAUAUGAGAGAAUUGGCUCGGAAACAAACCCUACAAAGAAUACCCGGUAUCGGGCUCUUGUACUCCAAACUCGUGCAAGGUGUCCCACCAAUAUUCUCACACUUCAUAGAAAAGAUACCGUCCAUUCAUUCGGUCGUCGUUCUUGUCUCGAUAAAACAGGUACCAAUCCCUCGUGUUGAGAUAGCAGAACGAUAUCUUUUCAGACAAGUUGAACCGAGGGAUUUCAGAUUGUACCGCUGCGUGGUGCGAUACGGUUACAUUGAUGCCCUAGAAGAGCCGAAGGUAUUCAAAGAGUCACUCAUUCAACAGUUGAAAAAGUAUAUCGAUGAAGAGAGUACCUUAUGGAAAAGUGAGGCGCCUAGGCAAAGUGAAGUUCAGCGUGAGGAGCUUAAUGAUACAAAGCUACGAUCAGGAUCUUCGAUUAUACACAUAGAGGAGACAUUAGAACAAAAUAUUUCGUCGAACGAAACACACUCUUCCGAGCGAAUUUCUAUUGAGAAAAGCCGAGAAAUUGAAGAAGAGAAACAAAUCAUCGAGAAGGAGCUCGAGAAAGGAGUUGUAUACCUUGUCGGAGAAGCCAACGUGAGGGCGAAACAAGACUCUUCUAUCCUCAAGAAAAUAGUCGUAAAUUAUAUGUACAACUUCAUGAGGACAAAUUUCAGACAGGGAGAUCGAUAUUUGAUGAUUCCGCAAGACAAACUGCUCAAAGUGACCACCUCAAAAUCAUAUUUCCUCAGAAACCUGACAUUUUACUUUUCCAAUCUUUAUAUUUUUACGUUAUAUAAAUAUAAUCCUUUCCAUGUAUCUUCUUAUUAUAAUUUCUGAUCCCCUACCUUGGUGAAAAAUUUGAUAUAGGCAUAGGAUCAAAAAAUUAUAGCCCUCCACUUUAUGCCUCUGUUUGGUUAUGCCUCUGUUUGGUUGGGACAUAAAGAGUGGGAUAAGAGGUUAUUCCACGUUUUAUACCCAAAUAAAAAAUGAUUAAGACCGAGUUAAGGAUGGGAACAACAGUUCCUAUCCCAUCCUGGAACAACGUUGUCCCAACGCUGUUCCUCUUGCACCCCACUUCAUAAAACUUAAAAUUUAAAUUUAAAUUUAAAUUUAAAUUUUUGAAUAUUAAAUAUUUCAAGUUAAAAAUUAAAAUUUUAAAUUUUUAAAAAUUAUAAUUUGUAAUUUCAAUAUUAAAACUUAUAAUUUUAAAAUUUUCAAAUUUAAAUUCGAUCUUAUAUUUAAAUUUUAAAAUUUUAAAGUUAAAAUUUUUAAAUUUAAAAAAGUUGAAUAUAAAAUUUAGAAAAUCAAAUUGAAAUAUAAUAGGAGUGAUUUCUAUUUAUAACUAUAUGCUAUUUUUUUAAUUAUAUUUUUAUCUAUCCAAAUGUUGUUUUUCUUAUUCUCGAGAACAAUCCAAUUUUCAUCCAAGCGUAAAAUUAAUCUAAUUCUUACUUAUACCUAAACUUAUACCUAUCCCUAAAAUAAGCAAUUCUUGAUUAUACCCAAACUAAAUGAAACCUAUUGAGUACCAAUACAUCAAUAGCAAACAAACCAUGGUUGAAUGUCAAAACAACUUAAUCGAGUGAUAACCUUAUACUACGAGAAUUUUUUUUUUUUCAUAAUGAGAAAAUAUGUAGAAAUUUGAUUUAACAAAAGGAAAGAAAAGAAAAAAAUCUAGACCAAUAGAGUUUUUUUUUUUUUUUGGCUUAAACUAGCAAAUGAGAGUGAGUGUUACAAGCAUUAAACAACAACAACAACAACAACAACAAACUUCGACAUUUUUUUACUACAUAAUCUCCUAAUAUUAAUUUAAAACUUUGAUAAUUUAGUAAAAGUUUACUGUCAAAGUGAGAUGAAUACUUCUGAUUGACUCUUCUAUUCCAGUUCAUUAGUAUAUCUUCGGGUUGGUUGAUUCGAAAGAAAGAAUGUAUAGGUAUAAAAAUACACCUAUAUUUCUAUGUAGAGGUAUAAAUAUAAUCCUUCACCAACUCGGCAGCCCAUUGUGUGAACAAUGGAGGAGUGGCGGCGGCUUACCAGUGAGCCGCCACCAAUUGAAGGAUUUAGGGUUUAGGGUUUAGGAUUUACGGAGGAGAAGUGGUGGCCAUCCGCCGCCGACAUACCUUCUUUGAAGGAGAACGGAGAGGUGACUACCCGCUGCCGCCAUACUAGCGUCGAUCGGGAAGGAAAAGUGGCGGCUGUUCGCAGGUUUUGAUCGAAGAGUAAUAAUAGCCGACCAGCACCACCGCCAUGUCGUCAUCGAACGAGACGGAGAGUUGGCCGUCCGCCGUCCGCUGCCAUCGCUGUGCCGUCUCCGAUCGAAAAGGAGAAGCAGUGAUCACCACGUAAUACCUAAGAAAAAGGAAAAAGAAAAUAAAACAACAAAAAAUGCUUAAAACACUACUCCCAGUAUUAGGUUCCAGAAUAGAAGUGUAGGAAAUGAAACAUUACCUGCUGUACUAAUAUAAUAAAAGCACCAACAAUUUGGCCAUCUAAUUUAGCUUGACAAUAGAAAGUUUCAUUCAGAUUCUACUCAGCUAUAGCAAUUUGGGAAUUAAUCAAACGAUCAUCGCCAUGCCAACCGUCAUCAAGAUUGCUCUCAACUUCAAAAGUACAAACAAGAGUUCUCUAAGCUAGAUUUGUCCGUGCUAAUUUAGUAUAAGCAGCAAUAGGAAUCGUAUAUGUAUAUUUAACCUCACAUAGCUCCCGCUAGAUCGAUAGCACAAAUGAUUACAUACACAAAUGAUUACGCCACUUCAAACAUGACUCGGCCCAACCCGACCUCACCACAUUUCAAACGUGACUCAGCCCACUUGGCCUCUCACCACAGGGCAAGAUGCUGGUUCAUUUAAGCCAACAAAAAAGAGGCAACGAGGAACCGAAGAAAGCGAGUUGCAAUUGAAACAGACUCCCUGAAUGGAGCGAAGAUGUCGAUGAUAUUGUCGAGGCCUCGUGGACUUGGGGAAUCUUAUCAAGGAGACUCAAACUGAAGCAAGAUAUUUGGAUAUUUCGAAACUUGUGCAUGUAUUGAGAGAGGCUAACCAAGCUGCUGACUAGUUAGCUCAUUAUGGUCGGAACAAACAAUUUAUUUUUUUAGAAGGGUUCCCGAUUACUUAAUAUGGAUAUUAUGGGCGUUUUUUUCUCGCUCCAAUCUAUGUACUGCAAUUCGGCCAUAGGCUGAUUUGAAUUAAAGCUCUGUUUAAAAAAAUAAAAAAAUAAAAAAAGAAGAAAGAAAGAGGAAUCAAGAAUUUUAUCUAUCAACCGAAGUUCUUGUACUGGUUCCCUCAAAGAAAUGUGAGUUGAUGCACCUGGAACAAAAAAGGAAACAUAACCCAAAUUUCCUUUUAUGAGAUGCAACAACACGAAUAAAUGUAGGUGAGCUUACUGACCAUUCACACAAAAAACUGCAGCGAUUGAAGCUGCUUGAUGUGAUUGGCUAAUUAACCACCAGCUUAAAUUCUUUUUUCCCCCUUUUUUAAAUCCAAUUUCCUCAUUAAAUCAGCUAAUUAUACCAAAUUUUCCGCACAAAAUUAACUAAAACUAUCCUACUACUACUACAACUACUACUACUAAUAAUAAUAAUAACAACAAUAAUAACUAAGAAAGGAAGAAAUAUUGAGAUUACCUUCAAAAGUAAAAAAAGGCCACAAAAUCUAAACUAUUAACAUUAAGACAUACCAAUCUCUCAUAACGAUGAAGAACUACAGAUCCAUUAUUCUGAAUAUGAUUUGUGAGAAUAUAACCACAGCAAAUACAUAAAUCACUAUCAAUCAAACUAAAGUCCUACAGUAUUUCUCUGCAUAACCUCUGAUUCCAACUGCAACAAAGCUCAUAGAUUUUUUAAAAAAUCCUUUUUUUUGAAAGCACAAUGCUGAGACAGAAGCUCAUAGAUUUACCACAAGAAGAACAACCGGAGACGUAGAUCAAACAAGAACUUGGGUGCUCAAAAGGUGUCCUCCUCGAUCUCGUCGUCCUCUUCGUGAGAGUGGGGCGAGCGCGGCUCGGAUCCGAACGUAGAGCGAGGACGAGUGGGGUCUACGGUUCGGUGUUGGGAACACGAGGGAAGCAAGGAGAGAGGGAGCGCCUGAGGGAGAGGGCAGGGAAACCCUAGAAAUGGCCACCACGGCACCACCUCGUCGUCGUCGUCGUCCUCGCGAGAGAGCGGAGCGCCGGGACCAAAAGUCGGCCGAGCGCGGUGAGAGAGAGGGGAUACGAGAGAGAGAGAGCGCCGUCGAGCGAACGAGUAAUAGGGUUUAGGGUUUCGUCCGGGACUUUUUUUGAAAUUGACACUAAGAAGGGAAAAUUUCAAAUACCAUCCCGGGGUUUCAUACGUUCUCAUCUUAGUACCCUAUAGUUUAAGGUGUAUUAAUUUAGUACCAUCUGAUUUUAUUUUUAUCUUUUUAUUAUCAAUUUCACUAAUUUUUUUGUUAAAUCAGUGACAAAGUUAAAACUAAAAAGUACUAAAGUGAAUAUUCGAUAAGUCUAGGUGGGAAAUCUGAAGUUUUUUUGUAUAUAAUUUAAUAAAAUAUUAACAGAAAAGCUGACGAAAAAAUAAAAAUGAAACCAUAGGACACUAACUUGAUACACUUUAAACCACAGAAUACUAAAGUGAGAAACUGUGAAACCACAUGGUGGUAUUUGAAGUUUACUUAAAAAUUUUCUCCCCCCGCCCGCCCCAUUUGGUUCGAAAAUAAAACAGGGAGGAAUAACAAAAGUUAUCCCCGUUAUCCAACCAAACAGGAUAUUUUUAGGCUGGAAUAUUUUAUUUCGGUCAAAUAUUACUAUUUCUGACUAUUCCGGAAUAACUUGAAAUUUACUAUUCCACCAUUUUAAAGCAGAAUAGUGUUAUUCUAUUCUAAGGUUUAAUUUCAAAUUUUAUUAAGAUUAUAAAUUGAAUUAAAACUAAAUUAUAUAAUUUAUGAGUAUAAAAGGGUCAAUACUCAUAAAAGUAUAGUAGCCGGACUCUACAUUUACCUUACGAUCAAGAGGUUAUAAAUUUGACAAUUUUUAACGGCAGGUAUGGGAUACUUGCUAGUUUAAUAAUGGUGUAAAAGAAUCGAAAUUUGUUGAAUUUUUGUUAAAAAAUUCUAUUCACUACAUAGACAAUAACUCCGAUCUUGAAUUGAAGGAUCCGAUCAUUCUUUUUUAGGACGUCAUUCGAUUUUGACCGUUUUUUUUAUGCCUACUUGAUGGAUUUUAUUUUGAUUUCGAAAAUUUACGAAAUUUAUUUUCUAGAAGUUUCAAAUACUCUUGAUCAUAUUUAACUGAGUGGAUCGUCGAUUCGGAAAUUCCAUCAUUAAAAACAACUUAUAAGUACGAGGGCUCCAAUACUUAUAAUAGUAUAGUAACCAUGGCCUAUAUAUAUAUAUAUAUAUAGAACUAGGCUACUAUGCUAUUAAUAGCACGAAGCAUGCUACCAAGUUUUUGGCCAUUGGAUUAAGAGAUAUACGGUUAGGAUAAUGUGGGCCCUCUAGGGUUGACUGGGUGGUUGAUUGAAUAGUAUGAUCUAACGGGUGAAAAUGAUCAAAAGGAUAGAUCUAACAGCGGAAAACUUGGUAGUACCAAGUGCUUCAUGCUAUUAAUAGCAUAGUAGCCGGAUUCUAUAUCUAUCUAUCUAUCUAUAUAUAUAUAUAUAUAUAUAUAUAUAUUGUGAAAUCAAAAUUAAAAAAAAAUGUAAGUUGAGAACCAAAUGUUAGAUUCAAUUUAGAUUUUACUAAUUGGUUGAAAAAUUUUUCGCCGACUGCGGUGAUAUGAUUUGAAAAAAAAAAAAGAAAAAAGCCUGCAGAAAGAGCGUGGGGCAUAAUUUUCGCACAUAAUGCGAGUGUGCUCUUACCGUUUCGCAUGAUUUUUUUCCUGAAUUGCAUCGUGCAGUAUUCGUGAAGUACAAAUUAUAUAGUUGAGGGUCCAUGCAAUUUUUAAGUUAAAGAGAUGGCAAAUUUGAUGACUAUCUGAUUUAUACUUUUUUUGUUUCAAUUUGUGCGGAAAAAUUGUGGGUGACCUUGUGGUGGUAAGCAACAAUUAUACAAAAAAAAAAAAAGACGAUCAGUUUGGAGAUUUCAAGCCAGAUUCUGGUUGGCAAUAAUAAAAAAUAUUCUACUGUUCUAUGAAAAAUACCGAUGCAGGACUCAAUAUUUGAGAUUUUAUGCAUCUGUUGGUUGCAAUUGAGUGUAUGGCAAAAAAAAAAAAGAUGGUGCUCUUCCUGUCUGAGCAGAUUCCUCUUGCUUGCUAAAGUUUAAUUGAAAUAAUUUUCCUUAUAAGCAACACUCAAUGAACACUAAGGUCAGAUGAAUCAAGAAAAAUAUAUGGAAAAAUUUCAAAAAACCCUCCUGUAGUUUCGUAGUUUCUCACUUUGCCCUCCUGUGGUUUCUUUUUUCUCUUUUUCUUAUCAAUUUCAUUAUUUUUUUUCUUAAAUCAGUGAUAAAGUUAAAAUUAAAGGGUACUAAAAUGAAUAUUUGAUAAAUCUAGAUGGGUAUCUGAAGUUUUUUCUAUAUAAUUUAAUGAAAUAUUAACGAAAAAGCUACCGAAAAGAUAAAAACGAAACCACAGAGGAGCAAAUUAAUACAUUUUAAACCACAGGAGGCAAAGUGAGAAACUAUAAAACCACAGGAAGGGCUUUUGAAGUUUUCCCAAAAUAUAUAAAAGUAGUGACGCAAAGAAAUGGACAAUCUGUGGGCUCAAAUGGUUUACCGGGCAAUGAUGAUACAUAAUCAAUAAAAUAGGGCAAGUUUGAUGGCCUUACAGCAACAGUUGCGCCUGUUGUUAGUUGAAAAAAUGUGCAUUGAAUAUGUAAUGGAAAGAAUGAGAGGGAAAGAAUGCAAGUAGUUUUGCUGUCUGAACUCAUUUGUUUUUUUUUUUUUUUUUAAACUAUUUGAAACCACUGAUUAUCCAUUUCUGUAUCACUACUUUUAUAUUAUUUUUUAUUUAUAUUUCUUUUUGUCCUAUAUCUGUUGAUUUCGUACGCUGAUUCUUUGUAUUCAUUGAAUGUUACUUAUAAUAAUGAAAAAACUUUAAAAACUCCCCUCGUGGUUUCGUAGUUUCUCACUUUGCUUCCCUGUGGUUUGAAAUAUAUCAAAUUGACUUUGCCUCCCUGUGGUUUAAAAUAUAUCAAAUUGCCCCCAUGUAGCUUCGUUCCUUACUCAAAUACUCAAUUCCGAAAGUAUUUCUAUAGAAUAUGCAUCCUUACUUCCAAGUUUGCCCAAAUUCUUUUCUUCAUUUAUUAUUGUUUUUGCUAGUCCUCCUGCUUGGUCUGAUGGUUUCUCUUUUUGUGAAUUACAUCGGAAUUGAGUAUUUGGGCUAAGGCGGUGAUGAUAUAGAAGCCUCUUUGCGGUACUUGCAUCUUUGCGUUCUGCAUCUUCAGUUGAAGAUUGUUAUCGCGAUUGUUGGUUGAUAAAAGUACGGCAGAAUGGCCGGCCUUUUGGCAACCUCUGCACCUGCUGAACAUUAUCGAGAAUUAGCUGAUAUUUCCAUCUUGAUAUGAAGAGCCCCUACUUUGUUGGAUUAGAUAAACAAUUUGCUUGCACAGUACAUAUCUGAGCCUUAUACGUUUCUUUCGUCGUGAAUUGUUUUGGAUUUUGCCCCGACGAAUAAAUUGCACAGCUUUUGUUUUGUUUUGUUUUUUUUUUCGUUUACAGAUUUUCUAAUAGGAAUUCCCUACUUUUUGUCUAAUUUGUAUUUUAAUAAAAUUUAGAAUUUUUUUAGGAACACAUUUUGCCUACUAAUUCUUACAGAAGUUCUUUAUUUUUUUCCCCCUUCACAUUCUUGGGCCUUCUAUUUUUGAGAUGAAAAACAAAAAAGAAGGGUUUUCGAUCGAAUUCUAUUUUUGUUUUGUGGCUAUUGUUUCCUUUUGUUUUGUGCAUUUUCUGGACUGAUAUCAUUGGGUAAUUAAAUUAAAUAACUGUUGAAGGCCAAUGAUGAUAGAGAAAUAAAUAUAGAGCAAGUUUGAUGACCUAGAGGCAUCUCUUGGUUCUAUCUAUAUUUUCUGAACUUUUAUCUUUUGUGUUUCGGCAGCAGCUAUUCCUAUUAUUGCCAUUUUCUUCUUAUGCAAAUGUUGCCACUUUUGUAUAUCUCAAUGAUUUAUGGAGGGUUGUACAAUCAGAGAUUAUAUUUAUUUCUGCUUCUUAGCUUUGCCUCUUUCUUUACAUUACUUUGCAGUUUCUGGUGUUGAGUUUUCUACUUAUGUUAUUAUGGUUCUUAUAUAAUAAAAAAUAAUAAUAUUAAUAGUUAUAAUAAUUUACUGUUAUAUUUUUUUCCCAUCGCAUCGCGCAGGGCCCCUUAACUAGUAUAUAUUAUUACUUAGCUAGCGAGCACAAUCAUGGCGCAGAGAGAUAAGAGGUGCCUACCCAAAGAUUCCUUUCUUUCUUUCUUAUUUUGUGUCCUCCUGCUCCUCCAGCAUGCUCCUCUCCGACGACCCUACCAUAAUAAUAGACAUUAUUAUUAUUUACAUGGACUAUAAUUAUUUCUGUAUGAUUUCAUGUAAAAAAUAAAACAAGUCCACUAGUUUCCGUGCCACAGAUUUCUGUUGCAAGGUAAACAUCAAAAAUGACAAGUCCCUGAGCAGAUCGAAUUUUGAGUGGAAAAUGAAAUGAAUUGGCGGCCCCAUUUGAACCCCUCUUAUUCACACCGCCGCUAAUCCUAAUCUCAUAGAUAGAAGCGGUCCACCAUGCUAAAAUGUAUGCGUAAAAAUUAUCAUUACCAAUUGCCUCUUACUCCCCAAAGACUCGGUUUGGUUAUCACUCCAACGGACUCGUCCGGUAGAGUUUGUCCAAAAGAAUGAUUCACAUCCACUCUGGGUUUUGACUACACCGGAAGAACGAAAGUGUGCGAGUAACUAGAAGCAGCAGCUGAUGAGGGUUGAUCAGUAAACCUGCAUGUGCAAGUAAUCAGAAGCAAGCAACAUCUGUGGAGAAAAGAAAACACUUAUUAGUGCUGCUGCAAGAACCGAUCAUUUUCUCGUGCUCAAAACUGACCUGAAUUCCACAACCAAUGGAGCUAAAGCAUGGAGUUGAGGCUACUAAACAGAGAGAGAUGCGAAACAUGAAGACCUAUUCACUUAAUGCAAGCUGAUCAAACGGUGCCCCGCAAUUAUAUGUGCACAACAUCAGAGUAAUGCUAUUGUCUCCGACGAGCAAGUCUUAAAAGAGAAGGAUAUGAUACAUUGAUCUUCCAACAAGCCCUAUAAUAAAGUAUAAAUAUUUUUCAAGGAAUUGAAUAGUUUCGAGGUUAGAACUGUACAAGUUUGACCAAUAUACAAUAGAUGAUGAGUUCAAGAUCCUAGAAGCACAUUUUCAUGUACUAACGACAAAUUAAUACAGGUUCCUCAACAGGCCAAAUGACCAUCCGAACUCAUUAAAAUAAAUCAAAUUUCUUGAAUUCGGGACAGAAUAAGGUACUAAUAAUUGGAUUUUUUUUUUUUUUUUUUUUUUUUUUUGGCCAUCAAACAAGCCAGAGAAUCUAAAUACAUACUAUUCAUGUUGAAGUAAUAGGAUAUUAUGCAGACCACAAAAUCCAUUGUGUUUUUCAAAUUUCAAUUGGAGUAUACCACACCAAUUGUGGCCAUACAUUUUAUGAGCAAAUGUAGUAGGUGUUCCUAUUAAUUUAGAAAGCUACUUGAAAACCAGACUAAAAAAAAUUCUCAACACUCUCACUAGUCAAUGAGAACAAAGCAAGUUUCAUUAACGUGGAACUUCAUAUUUAGAAGUGGAAGCACCAUGGUCAUUCCACUGUGACCAGAUAAAUGAAGUUGCAAAGCAAGAGAGGGGCAAGGAUUCAAAUUCUACUUGUAAAGGAGAUAUUUUGACGAAGGCAUUCUGUGUCUCUGUCUAGAUAAAUAUGUUCAUAUUUUCCUGAUAUGUUCAUAUUCUCCCUAAUGCAAACAGCUCAUCAAAGGGACACGAAGAUUCAUGCUAUAUAAUAAUUAGUGAAAGUUGAUCUGCGUGAGCAUUUAAAAUGCAACAACCAACAACAAGAAAUACCAGGAAUUCUUUAUAAACAACUUCCCUAAAUCCUAAUAUAUCACCUACAACUUUUACCGAGUGAAUCACAAAUGGAAAAUACACAAGGUAGCAACAACAACAAGAAUCCUAAUUCAAAGUACGAAAACGAUGAUAUCAUAAGAACUCGUUUACAACGAGAGUUAAUCUCUUAUACUUUGAUUACUGUAUUCAUAAAAGAUCAUCAAACAUGACGGCGCUCAAAUGCAAGUACCUCUAAACAAAAUAAGCACUCAAUGCAUUAUCAAAAUAGUUAAUAUCAAUACGCUUCAAGCACAGCUUACUGGCGAAUUACCUCCCUACUAUGAAAGGCCAAUAACAUGGUGUAGACUAAGAGCUUCAUUCUAUGAAAUGAACAUAACAUACGGCUAGAUGAACACAUUCAUAUCAAUUAUGGCAAUCAAAUUACCAGAUAGAUAACAAAGCCAUAGCACAGGAUUUGAAUAAUGCUAACAUCCAAUUAAAGCUAUUACCAGCAAAUCACAGAGAGACGAGCAAGUUACCAUCCAGCCAAUCAAUUCUUCUCGUGCCUUGUAUGCUUCCUGCUCCUCUCCUCGGAUCGCUUCUUCUCCUUCCUGCCUCGCGGCUCUUCUUCAGAAUCCGAUCCGCUGAUUUCAGAGUCGCUCGAUGAAGCCGCUCUCCUCUUCCUCCGGCGCUCAUUAUGCCUGCUGGACCUCUUACGAUCAUCCGACGGCUCGUCACUUUUAUCAGAAUCACUCUCCGAUGCUGAUGCAUCCUUCCGCCUGUUCGUUUGUUUAUGGCGUGAAUGCCUAUCUGGUUCUCCUUCCGAAUCAUCCUCAUCAGAGUCCUUCCUCUUGUGAUGGCUCCUCCGCCUCUUCUUUUCCCUCCUGCUCUUCCUAUGCUUCUUUUCAUAAUUAUAGUCGUCAUCAUCAUCCUCUGAAUCCCUGCACCUUCUCCUCCUCUCCUUUCUCCUCUCUUCGUCCUCGCUAUCGAUCUCAUCAUCGCUCUUGUUCAAGCUCUUCCCGCUCCUCCUAUGCCUCGAUCGGCCCUUCCUCCUGCGGCUCCCCUCCUUCUCAUCAUCGGACCUCUCCUCUCUCCCCCUCGCCGCCGAAGCGGAGCUCCUCUUGCUCUUCUUACCGUAGCGAGCAGUGAUGAUCUUCUCAAUCUCCGGAUCCACAUCCGAAUCCGAGCUCGAGCUCUCUUCCUCCUCCUCCGACUCGUCGCUCUCCCCCGCCUCCUUCAACCCGCUCGCCUUCUUGAUCCUGUCGAAGGCGUGGAUCGCGGCGCCCUCGUCCCUCUCGUCUUGUUGGUCCUUCACGCUGAGGCAGUUGCGGCACUGGAAGGGGAGGUGGCCGACGCGGCCGCACUUCUUGCAGGCGCCGCGCGCCUCGUCGGCGCUGGAGCCGGUGAUGCGGGCGAGGGCGAGGAGGCCCUGGAAGCUGGCGUAGGCGUUCUCGUCGCCGUCCCCACCACCACCGCCUCCGCCGCCGCCGCCGCCGCGGGGAGCGGAGGAUGGCUUGGAGGGGUCGGGCUUGUCCUUGUUGGUGGGGGCGUAGGGGUCGUAGCCUAUCGCGCUCUGCCAUAUGCCGUGCGUCUGGAGCGCCGCGCUGCUGUGGACGCGGUUGUUCGCGGGCAUGCGAACCCUCCCCGCCGUCGCCGGCAUCUUCGCUCAAGAUCGUCGGAGAAGAAGAAGACGAAGAAGAAGGGGAUCGCUAGGGUUUCUUCGAGAGAAAAAGGGCGAAGAGGUAGAGAGGUCGUUCGAAUCGAUCGAGGAAACCCUCGAUCGGUUUCUUUUAUAUAUUAUUUUAAUGGCGGUGUGGAUGCGACGCCGAAUUAUUGGGUCGAUCGAUCCCAACCGUCCGUUUUCGACUGUUAUGAUCCGCAGCGUCCCUUGGGGUCCACGUGCGUUGCACGUGAUCGAAUCUUAUCCACGCAACCGGGCCCAAUCCUUUGGGCCGAAUUUGGAACUCCACAAACCAAUUCACAAUCCAUCAAAAUAUAUAUUAAUAUGAUUAUGACUUCAAUUGAUUUAUAAAAGCUUUAAAUCAAUAUUAAUAAAUAUAAACAAAUUUGUUAAUUCGGAUUUCCCAGUAUUUGUAUUUUCCAUGCAUAUCUAUCUAUCCACACAAAAACGAAAAAAGAAAAAAGAAAAAAAAAACCUUGCUAAUCUAUUUUAUGAGUGACCAAACAAAUUUAAUCCAACGGACCAACCUCGUUCAUUCCAAACAAAAAAAGUUCAAGCCCUAAAGAUUCACGAAAUUACUUAGAUUCACAUUAUCCCCAUCAAAUCCUUACCUUAUUCUAGUACUCAUUAAUUCCUAACAUUUAAAACUAACGUAUUACUAAUAUGCAAAAAGAUCAAAUUUUGUAAAUAUGCACGUAUGGGGCUCGAACGGCUGCCAGCAUGAUCCAUCGGGAUAAAUGGAUUCAAGGGAGAGGGAGAAAGAUGGGGUAAUAAUUUGAAUUGUAGGGAAACAUUAAUUAUUGUGUCAAUACAGGAGAGUGAAAAAAAAAAUUGUCACAUCAAUAUAGGAUCUAAGGAGGGUAUAGGGAGAAAAUAAUAAUUACCGAGAGGAAGUUGAGAGCUAGAGAAGGUGUAAUAAAUGUUUAGAAAAGAGAGAGGAGCAUGAAUAAGGAGGGCGAAAUUGAGUGAGAACUCCACACGUCAGUUGUAAAAAACUGUCAAUUUAUGGGCGUAAUAAUUGACAAGGAAAGAGAGAGGCGCGGGACGGGGGGAAUGAGGAGCUGCUAAAUUGAGCAAGAGCUCAACAUGGUAAAAUUAAACUGCCGAUUUAUAUUUGUAUAGAUAGAUAGAUAGAUAGAUAGAUAGGUGCGAAGGUUUGUGUAGGGCCCAAUGUGAGGAGUCGAACAAUAUUGUUGGGCAAAGUAUUUGGGCCCAUGGAGGAGUCGAACAAUGGAAGACUAAAAUGUUACUUGAUUGAAUAAUAUUGGAUAGUCGAUUCAAAAUGAUCAAUAAUUUAGAUAAGUUUUAUAUGUUUUUAUCUAUAAAACGAUAAAUUGCUUGUUUUGUCCUCAAAUUAUGAGGCGGGUGAGACUUUGGUCUUUAAACUUUAUUUGUUAUAAAUUUUGGGCGGAAUUUUCGAAAGCAAUCAAGCCUUAUAAACCAACUUAGUUCACUAACUAUUAAUACAUAGCUAAUACGGAGAUAAUGUAGUAGUGUUGUAAUUGAUGGUGCCCUAAUAAUUAAGAUAUCAUAUUAGUUUGUGCAUCAAUGAUGCGUGAAAAUUUAGUCAACUAUAUUAGGACUUGGUUGCAAUAAUUUUAAAAGUUUGAGCCAGAAAUUGUAAUAUAUCAAAAUUUGAGGACUAAAGUGUUACUUGAUUCAUAGUUUGAGGAGCAAGCGUGCAAUUUAGCCCCUAUAAAAUAUCUUCUCCCUCCUCUCUUUGCGUCUCUCUCAUGUCCACAAACACACUCUCUCUCUCUCUUUCUCUCUCUCUCAUAUCCAAUCCAUAAACCCUCAUAAAACCCCUCUGAAGCUUUCUCCUCCUCCCCUCCCCCUCCCCUGUACUCUGUAGCGAAACCCUAGUUUCGCUCCAUCCAUGGCCGCGGCCAGGUCCCCUCUCCCCCCAGUCUCGCUCCCCGACCUCCUCUUCUCCGGAUCCCCUUCUCGCCCCAGGGUUUGGUGGAGGCUCCCGGCGCCCAAAUGCCCUCGCCGCCCCUCGACAGGGAUCCGCACCAGCGCGUUCUACACCGAGGGCGCCCCCGCCGCGGUGGCGCCGCGCAAGGAGAGGGCGGAGCCGGAGGCGGACGAGAUCGCGCUCCUCAAUGAACGGAUCCGGCGGGAGCACGGCCGCCGCGAGGCGGCGAGGGCGGCGACGCCGCCCAUGGACGCCGCCGAGGCGGAGGAGUACAUAAGCAUGGUGAAGGAGCAGCAGCAGAGGGGGCUACAGAAGCUUCGGGGGGGCGACGGUGAAGGGAAAGGUAUAGGAGGGUUAGGGUACCGGGUGGAUCCCUACGUGCUCCGGCCGGGGGACUACGUCGUGCACAAGAAGGUUGGGAUUGGGAAAUUUGCGGCGAUUAAGUAUGAUGUGCCCAAGGAUUCGUCGUCGGGGCCGAUCGAGUACGUGUUUAUUGAGUACGCAGAUGGGAUGGCGAAGCUUCCUGUUAAGCAGGCGAGUCGCGUGCUCUACCGAUACAAUCUGUGAGUCGCUGAAACCAUUCCUUCCUAUUUAACAUCGUUUAAGUAGCUGCAUUGUAAUAGCUGAUGAAGAGGAAGCAAUUCUCUGUUUGAAUUUAUUAGCUGCAUUGUAAGUAGCUGCCUUUUAAUAGAGCUACGUGAAAUAAAUCGGUAAUUUAGUAAAAAAUUUAUUCAAUUUAUGUGAUUCUCUAUAUUAAGUAUAGCCAACAUCACCUGCCAAAUCGUUUGCAUUUCAACUAAAAAAUCAUAACAAAUUUUGGAUCGGUUUGAGACAAACAAAAUGUGAAGCUGAAAUUGAAGCAAUUGAAACUCCAAGGGCUAAUGAAGAUUGAAGAAUGGUGAAGGUGUAGUAGGGGUGGUGUCUAAAUAAAGCCUCUCUUAUUGUAAUUUCUUUCUUUCUUUUUUUUUUUUGGGUAAUUUUGUUCGUAGAUGUAGAGAUUUGCUGCAAGCAUUACUGAAUUUCCAGAUGUCAAACUUUCUCUAUCUGUUAGUCAGUUAAUGUUAUAUCUUGCAUGGCGGAUUUUCUGUAUGUAUAGUUUAACGUACUGUCCAAUCUUUUAAUCUUGGAAAAAAAAACAUAUAUAUUGACUAUUUAUUCAGGUUAUUGUUUUUGCAGGCCAAACGAAACAAAAAAGCCACGGGCCUUGAGCAAGUUGAAUGACCCUAGCACAUGGGAGAGGAGAAGGAUAAAGGGGAAGAUUGCUGUACAGAAAAUGGUUGUUGACUUGAUGGAGCUAUACUUGCAUAGGUUAAAACAGAAAAGGCCCCCAUACCCGGAGAAUCCGGCCGUGGCUGAAUUCGCUGCUCAAUUUCCUUAUGAGCCUACUCCUGAUCAGAAGCAGGUUUAUUACUGCUUGACAAUUAUCUUCUCACUACCGGGGUUGUACUGUGUAGAAUUCCGGCUUCUAAUGUUUAUGCAUUUCAAACUGAUGGUUCAUAGUUUAUUGAUCUACUAGCUUUACUUAAGUUGACAUAUAAUGGAGGUGAUCAUUUUACAAAUUUUUUUUUUUCCUUUUCAGUAUGCUAACUAUUUUUUCAUGCUGCUGGUUUCUGUAUAACUAUAUACAUUUAUCAUCGGUUUGUUUUAUUGAUAAGGUGUCAUAGGUACUGCAGAUGCAUAUUUGUAUCAUAUCUACACAUAAUUUACAUUACACUUCAUGAGAUUCUAAUAUGAGUUUGAUCCUUGCUGGGCAGGCUUUUAUUGAUGUUGAGAAGGAUCUUACGGAAAGAGAGACACCGAUGGAUAGAUUGAUUUGUGGUGAUGUUGGGUUUGGCAAAACUGAAGUUGCAUUGCGUGCCAUCUAUUGUGUCGUCUCUGCUGGGAAGCAAGCUAUGGUUCUUGCACCGACUAUUGUCCUGGCUAAGCAACAUUUUGAUGUAAUUUCUGAGCGCUUCUCUGGAUAUCCUCAUAUAAAGGUUGGUCUGCUGAGCAGGUUUCAGGUACGCCACUGUGCUAGAUAGGUUCACAUGUUAUACUUCAUGAGAAUGCAGUUUUUCGAAUAUGCUCUAUUUGCAAAUUUCUUCAAGUUACCUAAUUAUUUAUCGUGCAUUUUCUGUUAUCAGCUCAAAUAAUCAUAAGUUUUCAUGAUUUGCUUGUGUGAAAUUUCCUACUUUCUGAAGCUAAAACUGAUUAAUUCUCUUCCAGAAAAAGGUUUUGUUAUUUUGCCAAACUUUAACAAAUUUUGUUUACCUAUCAAAUUAUUCAGCACCUCUAUCUUGCGUAAUCAUGUAAACCAGUUUGAAAUCAUUGUAUGUCUUACCUGAUUUGUAUGAUAAAAAAGUUGCUGCAUUCUCACUUCAUUAGUUGUUCUAUAAUACACACUUUUAGUUUAAUGGCUUCCUUGUUCUUCGAAUUACAUUUUCUUGUUAUCAGGUUGUUUUUUUAUCCGUCUUAGUAAGAUGCACUUUACUCUGCAGACAAAGUCGCAAAAAGAAGAAUAUCUUUCAAUGAUAAAGAAGGGCCGUUUGGAUAUUAUCGUUGGAACUCAUGCUCUUCUUGGGAACCGAGUGGUCUAUAGCAAUCUGGGUCUGCUUGUUGUCGACGAGGAGCAGGUUGUUUCUAGUAUUGUCAAAUAUUGUAUUUGUCAGAUUACUUUGACUGUUGAAUUGAAUAAUCAAUUCUCUAAAAUUCUAUGUGAGCCACAUAAUAAGUUAAUGUACCUACGAACUAUAUGUUCUUCUUCAGUAUGAAACUAUGAAUCCAGUCAAUGUCGAGUUGGACAGAGAAUGAGCUAGAAAAUUUCAUGAUUCUUUCUUGUGAAACACAUUUUUACAAUUUUAACCUCUAUGUUACCCAUCAUGCAUCUAGGAACUCGUUUAAAUAGAAACUAGGAACAAUCAUGCGUCUGAUAUGCUUUUGUUAAAUUGCAUCCUUAUGUAGCUUGCUGCAUGUAUCAUUGAUCAGGUUCUUUUUUGCGUGAUUUUGAACUUUCAUGUUGUCGCACACUUUGUCUUUUUUUGCCCUUUAGAUCAUUCCCUAUCAUUGUCUUCUGAAUUUACAAUAUCUCUCUUGCAUGUGCCAAAGCUUAAGCUGAGGUAGGGAUAGAAAUUGCGAAUCUUAUGUAGUUUUGCUGGUAAUUUUUCUUCUAGGAAGCGGUCCAUUUGUUGUUGUCUUCUUUACUAAAGACCAAAGAAGUGUCCUAGUCCUAGUAAUAUCUCACUUAGGGCUUAACUGGUUUACUCAUAGUAUUUCAUUUGACAGAGGUUUGGCGUGAAACAGAAGGAAAAGAUAGCAUCAUUCAAGACUUCUGUCGAUGUCCUCACCCUCUCUGCAACACCUAUUCCUCGAACUCUUUACCUAGCAUUGACUGGAUUUCGUGAUGCUAGGUAAUACCUCCUUGUUGAUUAGUUCUUGGUUACAUUAACAUACAUAGUUACGUACUAUUACUGUUUAACUGGUGGAAAGAGUGCAUAAUUUUCAUGCAGCAGGACUUUGGCUAUUGACAUGCUUGUAUUCUUGCACUAAUCAAGUAUUUGAUCUUGUUUCUCGACUUCGACUUUUGACAGAAGUAUAUUUUUCUUCUGUCAGCUUAAUUUCUACGCCUCCUCCAGAGAGGGUUCCAAUAAAAACCCAUUUGUCAGCUUAUAGUAAGGAAAAGGUUUUACAAGCUAUCAAAUUUGAGCUGGAUCGUGGUGGUCAAGUGUUCUAUGUGUUACCCCGGAUUAAAGGCAAGUUUCAAGUUCAUUUGGAUUACAAUUUACAUCAUUCAUAAUCCAAUGUGUAUAUAGGUGCUAGAAACAAAACUAAAAUCGUAAGGGAAGCUAGUUUUAUAUUGGUUUUUCUCUUAGCUGAGUAUUGUACUUUAAAUAUGAAUCUUUUACCAGUGAAAUCAGUUUCCUAGAUUCUUAUUUCCAGAAUGGAAAAGGCAGAAAACUGCCAUGGUCUAUGUGCAAAUCUGCAUUCCUCUAAUUCAAAGAAUUAAAAAAGGCAAAUAGGGAGACUAAUCAUGUAUUCUACUGUCUUGAUAAUUAGUGUAGCUAUCAAAAUAAGAUGAAACAAAACAAAAGAAAUUAACAUACAUUUGUGAAGAGGUUUGUGAGCUACAUUCUGCAUGGAAUCAUUAAAAGGACUAGAUAAGGUUAAUGUAUUUACCCUAGUUUGAAGAUAACAGGAUUUACAAUGCAUUUUGUUUCUUCUUUUUUCAUAGCUUCUUAAUUUUGCUAUAUUCUUGUAACAGGGCUGGAAGAAGUAAAGGAAUUUCUAGAGCAAUCAUUCCCGAACAUAGCAAUUGCAAUUGCUCAUGGAAAGGUUCUAACGCCAGAUAUAGUUUAUGGGCUUUCCUGAAUACCUCCGUUAUCUCUGAAUGGAAUACCAUAGUAGCCACUUCUAUUCCACAUUACCUAUUUCUAUCUCAUGCUGCCUUUGAUCCUGACCCUUUUUCAAUUUGUAAAAUUUGCUCUAUUAAUUAGCAAAUUUUGCUAUCAUCUAUAUAGAGUUAUCUUUUUUAGAAAAAUCUAAUUAUUUUAUGACAUGUUUUUUUGUAAUUGAAAUUUAAAAACAAUUAUGCUAUACCAACCUUUUCCCAUGUUCUAUGACUUCACUAUUAGGCAGUGUCUAAUUGACAGAUAGAUAUGAUUCAUGAGUUCAAGAGAGAGAGAGAGGGAGAGAGAGGGAGAGAGACCUAUCAAAUGUACGAGUUGUUGAGAGUUUGUAAAAAAGGCGGAAAGUUGGGUGUAGUAUUACUUUUUCAAACUAGCACAUAUGGAUUGUUGAAAAUAAUUUGUAAUAAUUAUUUCUUAGGAGCUGCACCUCUGGCCAGUGGCCAAUGAUUGCUGGAAUAACUCUUGGUCAGAUUUUCUGUAAUAUCUAGGUCCUUAUGUACUCCACCCGAGAUUGCAUUUUAGGAUUAGAAUUCAUUAAUCAGGGCUGGAUUAUUGCAUAUAAAAUAUUAAAUUUUUUGUCAGUAAACUACUUAAAUUUAAGCUAUGUUCUGAAUAUUCUUACUCUUCUUAUUUGAUUGGCAAAUUUUGCAGCAAUACUCGAAGCAGCUUGAAGAAACAAUGGAAAACUUUGCUCUGGGAGAAAUUAAAAUUCUUAUUUGCACAAACAUAGUUGAAAGUGGACUUGACAUUCAGAAUGCUAACACCAUUAUCAUUCAGGAUGUUCACCAAUUCGGGCUUGCUCAGUUGUAUCAGGUAGCCUUCUUCUUCAUUUCAUUCUUUUAUCAUCUGUUUACCUUAAUAUCAUUUGCUUAGACUGCCAUCAAUUGACUACAUAACAAUUAAUAUUUGCUUGUAAGUGAAGGAGAAAUAGUAGCUUAAUGAAGACAUAUUAGAGUGGAAUAUCAUUAGGACAUUAGCAUAAGAACAUCAUUGUUGCAUAAUAUACCAGAUUUUGAUUCAGCAACUUGGCAUCAAAUAUAAUCUUUAUUAGGUAUUUACUAAUUUAUAUACAUAUCUUUUUCUUAUUUUUUAUUUUCUCCUUUUUGUUGUUUGGGCGGUUUGUACUUGAGGUGAAUAUAUUACUCUAAACUUAAAAGAAAUUCCUUCCAAUAGUUUCCGGUAUAUGUUUCAGAAGGUUGGUAUUGAAACUGUGCUGUGCCUUUAUUAUGGAGAAGUUGGGUUUUCAUAUGAUCCAUACUAAAGUUAAUACUCAUUGGCUAUUAUCGAUCAAAAUUUUCUCAUUUAAUACUACUAUUAUUAUAGUUGCUAAUGGAUUGAGCCUUCACUCAAUGAAUGCUUAAAGACAAUCAUACAAGUUUGAUAUUAUAGGAGUUUUCAUUUAGUAAUAUAGGUAUCUCCAUGCGGUUAAAGAUCAAUAUUGAAUUCUCAGAUCUUUAAUUCCUGCUCCUGAAACCACUUUGUUUAUGAAUUUUUUAAAACUGCAGGGCAACAAAAAUCUAAGAAGUCCUAUUUUAGUCUCUAGUUUUUAUUUCUAGCUCCACUUUGUGCCACCUCUAAGAACUCUGUAACUUUUUGCCACAUUGUGAUAAUAAAGAUGCCUCUGAUGGAUCAUAUGAUGACACUGUUGCUUUAAUACCUGUUUGUUUCUGUUUCUCUUUUUGUUAUUUAUUGAUAUGAAGUUUCUUAAUAGCUGCGUGGGAGGGUGGGACGAGCAGACAAAGAAGCUUUUGCAUAUUUAUUCUACCCUGACAAAUCAUUGCUCUCUGAUCAAGCAUUGGUAUGUUUCCUGCUUCAUCUCUGUUAUGUUCUUUAUAUGACAGUUUUAGAAAUAUCCUUUCACUAUUCCGAAAAGGUGACUUGCCUCUGAACUUUUCACUUCUUUGGGCCCUUAGCUUUCUCUUGUGUUGCAAUGUCAUCCCUGACCUUUUUAACUGUGUUUCAAAUACGCUAAAACAAGCAGCCAUUUCAUAGUCGUAAAUUUACAGGAAAACUUAGACUCUUGUCACAGUCAGGGAUGAAAUUUUUGUAUACGAGAAAGGUCACAGACCAAGUCACCAUACCAGGAUAGUACAGGGACUAUCCAUAUAAAAUUUUUGUUGGGAAUGAAAUUCGUAUAGUGAAGUUUUUAUUGAAACUUAUCAGCUAUUAUUUGUGAAGAUUGUUUAUCUGUUUUUGCUUGUAGUUUUGAUUGUUUUAACUUAACCUAGUUGGUUAUUAUGCAUUUUCUUCUUCUGUCUCUAGGAGAGAUUAGCUGCUGUUGAAGAAUAUGGAGAACUAGGCCAAGGUUUCCAUCUUGCAGAAAGGGAUAUGGGUAUAAGAGGAUUUGGAAAUAUUUUUGGUGAGCAGCAGACUGGUGAUAUUGGAAAUGUUGGCAUCGAUCUUUUCUUCGAAAUGCUGUUUGAGAGCUUAUCAGAGGUAUUUAUAGUCCUCUUUUCUCACUUAUUUGACUUGUUAUUUUAGUCCUCGUGAUUAAUAUUAUUCCAGUCAAAUGCAUAUGCAUGAUGUCACUUUUAGUUGGCUCAUUCCUUUUUUUUUCCCCAGCUUUCCUCAUACAUAAAAAUUGCUGCAUAUAUAUGAUGCAUGGAUUCUUUCUUUUGACGUUUGACUAGUUUUACUUUCUAGUUUUACUUUCUUACCUUCAAAUGUAUAACAGUUCCCUUCAUAGUAUGACAACACAAGCUUCUUUGUUAUUAUUAAGUUGCAUGAUACAUGGAUUUGUUCUUGUCGGACUAUUUCUUUACAAGUUGAUGAGCAAUAAUUGGCUAUAAACAACCAAUGCAUUGUUGUUUCUUAUAUAACUCUGAAAAUUCUGAGCUUGCUUCUCUUGUAUCUUCAGGUUGAAGAACAUCGCCUUGCAUCAAUUCCUUACAAAAAAGUUCAGGUGCUAAUUACAGUUAGUUUCUUUGAUGUAAUAUGCAUUUGUUGAUGGUAUGAAUAGUGCAAAUGAUAAUGUUAACAUGAUUCAGUUUUACCUCUAAUUGUUGUGAUGUAUCUUUCUGUGUAGCUUGAUAUAGAUAUUACUCCCCACCUCUCUUCAGAGUACAUAAACUAUCUUGAAAACCCUCUCAAGAUAAUUAAUGAAGCUGAGAAAGCUGCAGAGAAGGACAUGUGGAGCUUAAUGCAAUUCACAGACAAUCUGCGUCGACAAUAUGGAAAGGAACCUCGGUCAAUGGAGGUAUGAAAAGAUUAAUCUCUUACAGUUGCUAAAGACCUACAUUUUAGGAAAUAAUAUAAUAAGGUCUGAUAUUUUCAUCCAUUUUCAGGUACUGCUUAAAAAGCUUUAUACACGGCGAAUGGCUGCAGAUCUUGGUAUCAGUAACAUGUAUGCCUCCGGCAAGGUGGUCGUCAUGACCACAAACAUGAGCAAGAAGGUGUUUAAGCUCAUGAAAGAGUCGAUGGCAUCAGAUAUACACCGGAAUUGUUUAACUUUCUCAGGGAGUGAAAUUAAGGUAUGCUUUUUGCGUUGUACUAAGGUCAAUAUUUACCAUCACUUUCCAACGUUAGAUGAGAUCGUCUUUGAGAGAUAGCCCAGCACGAUAGUGAAUAUCUGUGAGGUCUUUAAAUUUUCGCAUUUUAGGGCUGAGGGCUUCAAUUUGAAAUUAAACAGUUUUAUUGGUUGACUCUGUUGUUGGAGGAUUUCACCCUUGCAGUCCCAAAAUUUUCUUUCAGAGAUAUGUGUUUUAAAUGUAAAUGUUAAAUAUAAUGAGGUGCUCUAACACAACAUACUUUUUUAUUAGGCUGAACUUCUUCUGGAGCUACCAAGAGAACAACUCCUUAACUGGAUUUUCCAGUGCUUAGUGGAGCUCUAUGCUGCGUUGCCGGCUCUUGUGAAGUAUUAGUAUUCUCUCCCAAAGGACUUACAUGAAAACUUUCCCGUCUCCCACUGAGAAUGCAGUUGGCUGGUGCAUGCCGAAAAAGGAGAACGACAAGCUCAGGCUUUUCGAUCUAUAAACUUACAAAGGAAAGUUGCAACGCAUUACUCACUCAAGAUAUCUUUAUCGAUCAUAAUAGAUCGUAAAUGAGAGUCAUAGCAAUGUAAUCUUGUUGAUAGUGCCAACACUGGUAGGUAUCUUACCUUCUCUUCUUAAUUAUUUGCUUCUUUCCAUACUAACCUUGUUUUCUAUUCUUCUUUUAGGAACUCGUCGAAGGAAACUGGUGUCCUUAGCCUGGAUUUGCUCGCACAACAACAGUCUCCAGCUAGUUCUGGUGCGGCAUGUUUACUAAUUUCAUAAACUUUCAGAUAUUAAUAGAGCCUAACAUGAUGUCACAUUAUUUAGAGUACACGAAGAGGUUAGUAUCUAUAAAUCUCAUAAGAAGCAGGCUAAUAAAUAGCAGUAGGUAAAGACGUAUGGAUCUGACCUGCACUAUGGCCUCUGAGGAUGACUAUCCAACUUUUAGAUGUUUUGAUUUUGAUAAUUAACCUUCUAGUUUGUUGUAUUGAGUCAUUUGAUAGCACUUCGAUCACUGAAUUUAAGCACAUGGUUUCUAAAAUGGAUGUUGUUGUCCUCAAUCUCUGCUUCGUAACACUAAAUAGCCCUGAUGAAAUGAGGUGCUUGGUUUAUUUCCGGGCGCUCAGAUUUGUGGAUUCCAGAGAGCCUACUCUCGAGUUAGGUAGAGACCAGGCGCCUGGGUUUCUUGAGAGCUUUCUGUUUGGUCAAAAAUUGGACGCUUGAUAUGGUUCUGGAUGUCCGGACCUGUGAACUAGUUUCUGUUUGACCAGAAGCAAAACCUGGCGCAAACAGAAAAACUGGGCAUACGGUUUUCCAAACUCAGCUCUCUAUCCAGAAAUUAGGCUUAACAAAUUGGGCGCAAGCAGAAAAUCAGGCGCUCUGAUUUCCUGUUGAAGCAGGAAAUCAACUCAAAAAUGCAAAAUCAAAAAGAGGUGAAAUCUUAAAUUGAUCAAGCCAAAACAUUCAACAAAAUAAGCAGUUUAACAUGGUGCAAAUAACAUAGUAUAAGUCCUGUUUCAUACAUAUUUGCCAAUUGAUCUCUAUGUGCUGAAAAGCACAGUAAGAUAUACUAUUAAGAAGUUGAGGAUUCAAGUCCCAACAUGUCUAAUUUUCUUCUUGAAGCAUCAAACUUGGCAUCAUCAAAUGUAACAUUGUGUUUGCAUGUUGUGAAGGUAAUCGUUGCUAGAAUACAUGUCAAUUAUACUAUAAUGAGAUGAUUCAACACAUUGCAUGACUGGCUAAUGCUAUUUUCAAAUAGUUUACUGGAGACAGAUGAGGAAUUUGUUACCAACGGUGCCAAUGCCAAUGAAUCAUUCUUUUUUCAUUUUCUUCCGUGGUCACGAAUCCACCAUUCUAGCUUUGAAGUGACUUGAGUCUUGAAGAAUCUUCCUUUAUCUGUUGCUUAAAGCCUGGAUUGAUCUACAAGAGCAAAUCAAUGGUGAUGAAUCUUCCUGCUCUGAAUAUAUGUGUUGUCGUGAUGACCUCUCGCAUAGUCAUAUUACAAUAUAUCAAGGUUUGAAGUGUCGUCGGCACGGGCUGUAUCCACCGUGCCGUACCGUGCCAACAAGAUACCGGCACGAUACAGACUCCGUGCCGAUGGUACAGCUCAAAACCCUCUAUUCUUUAAAUUAGUAAGUAAUUUUUUCAAUAAAAUUCAAAAGAUGUGAUAAAAAGGCAUAAUAAAUAGUUAGAAUAUUUUGUUGCUAAAGAAAAUAAAUAUUUCAUGCUACUAUGUGUCGGCACACAAGAAUUUUUUUGGCCGGCACGCAUCGGCACGACUCCGUGCCACGACAUUUAAAUUCUUGCAAUAUAUGCAAUAUAAGGAUGGGUCUUGGUUGGAAGUUUUAACAAGUACCUUUUCGGAUAUUUUAGUUUUGCGAAUUUUAUAUUAUUUGGAUUUGGAGCAUACCUGGGACCAAAAUUUCUUAACUCUUAUUCGGGAAAUUGAGAAAGAUGGUCUCUUCAUUGAUUGCUCCCGCCUUUUGCGGCUCUACUUGAAAUGUUGUGAAUAUUGUUUCAUCUGAAAGUACGAUUGUCAAGGUUAGUAAAAGUUUGAGUGCUUUUAAUUUUUCCUUUCUAGAGCCUUUUCUUCUUGAUUUUACCUGGCUGCGAAAGUUUUAUUUUUGGGUACUUACAUUACACUGUUAGCCAGUUUAUAACUACUACUCUACAUGAAACAUAAUUUCAAAAUUAGUUCAUUGUUUUCCAUGAAUGUCGCUAGAUAGCCAGACAGCUAAUUACUCUUACCCUUUACUGUGGCUUGAAAUUGACAAUCGAACUGCAAAUCUCAUAGAAUUAGAGCUUGAUAUGUGUAGAAAUGUCCCUCAUUUAUCUCUCCUUUGUGAUUCACAUUCUCCAUCAGUGACCUUCAGAUUUUAGGCUUGAGUCUCGAUUAGUGACUAGUGUCUCACUUUGGCUCUCUUUGGAAUGUCUUCAUAGAGGAUGCUGCAUAUCAAUAAAAAUUUGUCACAAAAUCCAGUAAGGGCUGUUUGGUUGGAUGUGAUUAUAAAUAUAGUAUAGCUAGAGAGGCAUGUUAUUGAAAAUGUAGCAGCCAUAUAUAGCAUUUUGUUUGGCUUGAUAUAGUAGAAAAUAUUGUAACUAUAAAUAAUUUGUUUGGUUACGUGUGUUUGGGAAUUUUUGUUUACAAAUUCUACCAUUUUAUAUGUAGGAUGGUGAGGUUAUUUCGGGAUGUGGAAGAAUAAAAUAUUUUUUGUUUGAAAGGUAAUUAGCAAGGUAAGCAGUAAGCUUAUCUUUAGUUCGAAAUUACUUCUUUUAAUUGCAGCAGUAAAAAUUGCAGCCAAUUUAGACGUAGUCCCAAUUGUUGUUGUUGUUGAUCAUUCCUGUGCAAUUCCAACUAUAGCAGGUGGAUAUAAAUGCGUCAAAUUUAAUAUUGUAUUUGAAUUUGCAUAUAAUUACAGCUGCAGUGCUAUUGUAACCACAAACAACUAGAAAGUCUCUCAGGCAUGUUUGCUUUAUUGAAAGUGGAGAGCGGUGAAAUGAUAUUCAAUCGUAAAUUAUUGCUUUCGUUGUUUGGUUCACUAUAAUUUUAUUUUUAGUCGUACUCAAACUCCUUAAAAUACCUCUGGUCGGAAGACAAUUACAAAAAAAAAAAAAGAAAAGAAAAAAUAAUAAAAUAUUGAAGAUGAAAAGUUUUAGCUAUUGCUUUAUUUAUUUUUUAUCAAAUAAAUAAAUAGGAGGAUUAGAGGAAUUUUAGUUUCAUAUUUAAAAAUAAUAUUUAUUGGAAUUUUAAUUUAUUCAACAGUCUAUUUUAAAUUUGAGCUUCAACUCCAGUGAAAGGAAUAGUUACUGCAUGCAAAUCACUUAUCAACUUAAGAUUUUAAGAAAUAAAAUAUAAAGUAUUUAAAAAUUAAAAUGAAAAAGUGAAAAAAAAAGAAGAGAAUAUUUACAGAGUUGAUGUAAUUUUAGCCAAUGGCAUCAACUUCCGCGUCCUUGUCAGAGAUUUGCUCGUUCAUCCUCUGCUAACUUUUUGAAGUCUCCUCCUCCUUCAACUGUUCUACUGUCUUCUUCAGCCCCCCAUUCUUCUUCUCCCUCCUCCUCCCUCUCAAGGGAAGUCUUCUCUCAAAACUAGACAGGGGGAGAGAGGCAGAGAGGCAGAAGAAAAGAGUGGAAUGGCGGCCGUUGUGUUCUUCCACAUCUUCGUGUUCCUGUCCCUCUUCCCCUUCUCCCUCUACCACCUCGUCUCCUCCACCUUCUCCUUCCUCAAAUCCCCUCCUCUUUCUUCUUCCUCUUCCUCUUCUGCAUAUUCGGCUCGCAUCUACUACCCUCUCCCACUCCCCCACNCUUAUGUUGGCCUUGUAUUAUCGUAUUAUGAAGUGAGGAACUAAAAUGCCUUUCAUUUCCGUGGGUAUGAGGCUUCCUUUCGUUGCAAGAUAAAUCUUUUCUUACUAUUUUCUAUUUUGUUCUUUUUGUCUUUUCUCUUAUCUGUCUCCGGAGGCCUAGUUGGCUCGUAUAUGUAGCUAAGUUCAUUAUUAUCAAUGAAUGAAAUAGAUAACACACUAUCUUAUUCUCAAAAACCCAAAAGAGAAGUAUUAUCAAGCUUUCUUUUCCCGUCUUUUGUAUAAAUAAAUAUUUUGUAUAAAUAAAUAGACAAGUGAUAGAUGGCUUUCCCUAGAUAUCUAUCGCCCUAAACUAUUCUAUUUCAUUAGCUUUUGUCAUAAAAGGUUACCUAAUGAUUCUAAGUUCUACCUAAAGAAACAUUGGCUAGCAGUAAAUUAAUUAUUUGAAAAGGUAAAAAAAGAUCAUAGAAUCGAGCCAAGCUCGAACCUAUCGGGAGCAUGCAGCAUGGCUCAGUUCAAUUAUCACUCUGCCUAUCAAACCACCGGUGGUCCGAUGAGUACAAAUUCAAAUACCCUGAGGUUAGAAUUUAGUGUCCAGUAUGGACUUAAAUCCGGGAUUUUGGUGGAGCAAAGAUAAUAACUGCACAGCCUAUCUCAUUUAAUUUAUUCCUUUUUAGUUUACUAUAAAUAUUCGAAAAAGUAGUAACGCAAAGAUCUUAAAAAGAAAAAAGAAAAAGAAAAAGAAAAAGGUGGGGUACAUAGGUAGUAUAUAAGACGCAGUACACCUGAGACUCCCAUGUAGAGCCCAUCAGGCCCAUCCAAAGAACGCAAAACCGGAAAGGCCCUCGGAAGCCCAAACAUUCGCGAAAAUGCCUCGGCCCAAAUCCACUCUUCACCCCAGCUGAGCCGCGGCCCCGGGCCCACCAAAGCCGCUAUCGUGCGCCGGCGCCGAGACCGCCAACUCCUUCCAGAAGCACUCCCCCUCGCCACUCAGCACCCGCCACGCGUCCCCGCCUCUAACGUGCGCCUCCUCGUCCCACAGCAUCGUGGGCCACAGGAGCGGACACUAGCCCGAGCCCCGAACCCCAGCGCGAGUCCUCCAGCGGCGUGGCUCGAGCCGAGCCGAGCCCGAGCCCGAGCCCGAGCCCGAAGAUCGGCUCGCCGAUCGGCGCGCGCUCGGAGGAGCGGCGGCGCGGCGGCGGCGGCGGCUGCAGCUGGGCCGGCUGGGCAGGGUGCUCGGCCGGCUCGGCUUGAGCCGCUUGCGGGUGGACGCCGAUGGGACGUCGCGGAGUGAGCCGCGAGGGUCCAGUAGCGCGGCACGAGCGGCAGAAGUGGCGCGCGCGCGUGUUGUAGUUGUUGUAGUAGCAGAACUUGGUGUCCCGCGACUCGCACCGCGGCACCGCUCCCUCCUCCUCUGCUCAUCGUCUGUCGCCGACGCCACCGACAUUGCCUCCGUCAUGUCGUCUGCGGCCCUUCGCCGCCGUGCGCCGCAGUUUGCGGUCAUGAUCAAGUUCUCUCUACUUGUUUUGUAGAAUGAGUUGGGGAUUUUGUGUAGGCCUGUUUAGUUUGCAGGUUACGCAGGGGGCUGCAGGUUAUGCAGGGGGGAGUAGAGUGUGAGAUUAUUGCAUGGAAGUUGCUCAAUUUAUAGACCGGGGUGUCCCAAGAGAAAUUAUUGCAUGCACUCGGUGCAUUCGUACGGAUGCUGGUAGGUCUACAAUUCAAAAUGGAUUGUAAUUCUAUGACACACUGGUUCAUUGGUCGCUUUAAUUUUAUCCACAUUUUUAUCACUUUAUUUUUUAAAAAAAUUACUAAAAGUCAGAAAGGAGUUAGUAAAUUCUAGCCACAGUUGGAUAGAGUGGCUGUAAGGAUUAUAAUUUUUUUUUUUUUUUUUUCCAAUUGUAAGCUGAGCAUUUCUCUUUCAUCUUAUAUGCCAAAAUAUAUUGUUACUAAUUAGUUGCAGUAUAUUUUGGUGGAAAUAUAUUGUCACUAAUUAGUAAAUUUUAGCCACUGUUGGAUGAGUAAUUUAUGUGCAAAAGUGAGAAUUUAACACUCGAAAAUGCACGCACUAACCACCCACUGUAGAUAGCAAUGAUAGUAAUGGUUGUAAAGAUCAAUGUUACAUAAAUCUAUUGUUUAGUGAGAAAAUAUUUAUGAGAAUUAUGAUUUUUGACAUAUAAGUCAUGCUUGGAAGUUAGAAUAAGUUAACUAAUGAUGAUUUAUGAGAAUAAUCUUGUAUAAUCAGAAGGAAUGAGUUUGAUUUUCCUCGUUGAAAGAUCUUAACUUUUAUAAUUUGGUAGAAAAACAUUUUUCACCUACAAAAUAAUUUAUUUUAUUCAAAAAAAUUAUUUGAAGGCGCGCAAAACAUGAUAACAAUUAUUGACAUUUAAUCACUUCUCAUUCACCAAAUACUACAAACUUUUUGAUUGGCACCUCAUAAAGGAUACGCCGAAGAAGGUGUUCAUGUAUCCAAACAACUUCAUUAGGCCCUGUUUAGAAGUUGGAAUAAGUUAUUCACGGAUAACUCAUUCGAUAUAAAAAUCCUUUAGUGUGAUUAUUAAAAAAAAAGUUUAACUUUUGCUCCUUGAAAGGUUUGAUAUCUGUGAUUUGUUAUGAUAGCAUAUCUUAGCUACGAAAUAAUUUAUCUUAUUCCAAAAAAAUAAUUUGAAGGCCGAAUAUAGAAUCUAAUUCUAAACUUUGAUUGCAUUUCUCAUUUACCAAAUAUAAAAACUUUUCAAGUAAAUUUCGAAGAUAUAUCAAACAAAAUAUUCAUACAUCUAAACAAAAUGUUAAUUAAGCUGGCCUGAUAUCAUCAUCAGAUAAAAAAUAAUUCAAAAAUAGUCUUACAAUUUACUUGAUCCAUGCGAGAGAGAGGCAGAGAUAAAUAGAGAGAGAGAAUCCGGUGUGAACGCCGUAAAGAUAUACUGAACAAAAUAUUUAUAAAUUCAAAUAAGUGUUAGUUAUAACUGGUCUGAUAUUACUAUCAGAUAGAAAAUAAUUCAAAAUUAGUCUUACAAUUCAUCUAUACAUGGUCCAUGCAUGCAAGAGAGAGAGAGAGAGAGAGAGAGAGAGAGAAUCAGAAUCUGGCGUGGGUGUCGAGGUAGGUACGGAGGGGAAGAUAAAGGCUGAGUUUCAUGGCAAUGCAGGGCAGGGAAUUCUCCAGGACGACGACUGAUUGGUGUGUAUUUAUUUGGCAAUGACCACCUUUUCAGUUUUGUCUCCUUUCUAAUGUUUGUUUUUUUGAAAAAAAAAAUAAAAAUAAAGGUGUUUUUCUUUUUCUUAAGUUCUACUUUCUUUUUUUUUUUUUUUGAGAACAAGGUAGCAAGCUACCUGUUUCAUUCAUUCAGCGAAAUGAACUAAGCGUACAAGUUGGAGACAGCUAGGGUCUCCUAAAAGGUCCGAAUGGAUACAAGAAAGACCGAAAAAUAAGUUCUACUUUCUUAAUUCUCCUUUUGUGUGGUCACUACUCACUACUACAUGGUGAAGAAGAGUAUAGGAUGAUAUAUUCACCCUAUGUUUCAGUAAAGAGAGCAGCGUCGUGUAUUAUUAGCGUCCAGCAAGUUCAAAUUCAAAUUAUUAACAAUUCAUACAAGUUGGAAAACCAAAGUUUGUAAAUUAUUGCUCAACUUGUUGCCAUUUCUUGUUCCCUGGAAAAAUGCAUGCACUAUCGUACGUGUUCAUCAAUCUAUACUUUACAAGUUAAUAUGUGCGUGAUUUUAGCAUAUUAGCUGCUUAAUUACGGCAUCUAUACAGAGUAUGCGACACUGUUUUUGUUAAGUAUCUUUUUUUUGUUUUGACAACAAAUCUAAUAGAGAAAAAUUAAAGAGAAAAUCAAGAGAAGAUUUUUAUUUUUAUUUUUAUUUUUUUUAUUUUCUUGCUGUUCCAUUCAGAAUGAGUCAGAGCGACAACAAGUAUUUGGUGGAUCAGAAGGGAUCAAGAGAAUGAAAGCAUUCCUACCUUCUUCUCCGUUUCUUUAAAAGAUCAAAACCGAUUCUAAAAGAAUUAUUCUUCUUUUUUUUUUAUUUUUAACUUUUACUUAUCUCUUUAUUCAGAAUGAAUUAAAACGAAAGCUUCAUCGAUCAGAAUCCAUUUGCAUCCCUAACCUUGACAAGCUCUUCCUACCCUAAACUGUAGACCAUUGGCAUGACUAACCGGGCCCCACUUCUAUAUGUUGGCCCAUCCAUUAACUGACAAGUCAGCAUGCUCAGCUUAAUUACUGUCCCCCUGCUAGCAUAGGACCCAGCAUAUGCUGCAACCUCCCUUUGGCCACUUCCAUUUGGUGUUUUCUUAUAUGCCAAAGAGAGAGAGAGAUCAGAGAGAGAGAGAGAGAGAGACCCACCCUCUCAUGAGAAUUAAGCCAAACAUCUCUUCUGAAACUACAGAGAGUAGUACAUGAGAGAGAGAGAGAGAGAGAGAGAGAGAGAGAGAGAGAUUGGGGAACCUUGCAUAGUCAUCAGGAUUAUUUGAGCCAUACAUUUUUUAUGAACUUCUUUGUUUUUUGAGAGAGAGAGCAAACUUUCCGGUUUGUUCAUUUUAGAAAUGAACCAGUUAGAGACAAUAACUACACUUCGAACUUGAAACUCUAGAUAUCAAUCAGUAAAUUGUUAGCCAACUACGUUAGGUAUGGCCUGUCAUUUUUUCCGAACUUACAGAGAUACGUACAGAGUAUUUGUGGGCAGUGUUAUAGCAUUCUAGUCCAUGCAAAAACUUAAGCUGGUAGAUGGGAAAAUUCUUUUAUAUCAUAUACAGAUCAUGAUUCUAAUUUUAAUCCAAUAACGAGUUAAUAUUAUUAGGAUAAUGAAUUGAAGAGGGUCUUGUUGCAUUUUAUAGUAUAGCUUCGGUGUUUAUUUUUAUUUAUUUUUUAUAUUUAACACUCCCUCUCACAUCUGUAUUCCAAACUUUUCGCUACGCCCAUGAAGUGGACAUGGAUUAAAUGGAAGAAAAUUAAUAAUAUUAAAAGUCUGUACUGUUAUGAUAUCAUAUUUAAUAAUAAUAUAAAAUAAUCAUUGUACUCUAAAAGCUUAUAGUACAACGAUUGUUUCGCAUUAUUUAACAGUAUCCAAGUAUUUCCGAUUGUUUUUUCUAAAGAAAAAAGCAGUUUUGAUAUUUACAUAGGAAUAUUCGGAUACUUUUAGCAUUUAAAAUACAACAAAAUUACCUUAUAAUGUUCUAAAUUAAUUAUAAAAUAGAAAACAGUGAGAGUUAAUUAUCUCUAUAAUUCUUUUUUUUACUAAUGUAAUCUUAGAAUCCACCAACCAUUACCUGGACUAAACCUAAUUUUCAACCAAACACAAAAUUACUUUAACCGCACCUUAAUCCUGAACUUAACUCCAUUCCUGAAAUAAUAAGUUUUUACUUAACCCCGAAACAAACUGUGGCUGAGAGUGUUAAAUAUAAAAAUGAUAUGAGGGGGAGUGUUAAAUAUAAAAAUAUUUAAAUACCGUUCUCUAACAGCUUAAGAUUUUAGAGUACAAUGGUUGUUUCACAGAGAGUUAAUUAUCUCUAUAACUUUUCUUUUUUCACUGAUGUAAUCUUAGAAUUCACCAGCCAUUACCUGUAAUACAUUAUUAUUUCACAAUAAAACUUUGAAGUAUCCAAACAAAUCUUGAUGUUGAUGGUACUGUGUACUUCUCUCCACUGCCUAUUUAUUAAUCUAGUGGUCCAUCAAGUGAGACCCGAUAGCGAUUCCUCGAUCAGGUGUGAACACUGAUGAGUGCCAGAUUUGGUUCAAACUGUGUACCUCCAAUUUCGCAGAAAUUUUUUUAAUAGGUCUAAAAUAUAAAUUUAAUUAAAUAAAAAAACUUGAAUAGAGCAUUUAGAAAUUUUCUGUAAUGAUAUCAUAUUAAAUUAUAUAGUUGCUUAAACUAUUUAUAUUUUAUAUUCAACAACUUUUGUUCCACGGAGGAAUAAUAAAUGUAAUUUAAAAAUCUCCAUAUUAUUCAACAGUAUAAGAAUAUAUAUUUUUUAAAAUAAUAACUUAAAAUAAAAUUAUCAUAUUAUUUUUACGAGAUACUUUUCCAUGUCAGAGGACGUGAUAAAAAUAAUUUAGAAUAUAUAUCUUAUAUAGUGUAAGUGUUAAAACAAAAGACGUUUUUUUUUUAAAAAAAGAUCUUUGAGCCACAAUAGAGCACGCAAAUAAUCGAUUUUAUUUUUAACAAAAAUAAUUGGAUUGAGAUAAAUAAAAAGCGGGUACGAAAAAUUUAUGGGAACGGGGCUACAAACUGUGAGAGUCUCACUCAUCAUUCAUUGUGCUUUGAGAUUCGUACUGAUCUACUGAAUUUGCGCGGUGCACGAUGUACGUGACUAUUUAAUGUUGGAAAUUUGUUAAUGUAAAUCCUUUGUUGGGGAACGAAUGUGUUACGAGGAGAAGCGGAUUGGGUGCGGGUACCGUAGGACGCUGUUUCGUACGACCCGAUAAGUGAGUCGCUGCAGGGCGCCGUACACGUAGACCGUCGUAGUGGCCGGGACCAAAAAAAAACCGGACCGGGUUCACCGGUUCCCGAGGAAGCAGCAACAGAGAGAGUGUGGCGCGGGCCGCAGGUGACUAAGGUGCUUUGGUCGGGCCCAGCAUCCGAGGCAAAAGAUGCCCUGGGCCCACAUAGGCACAAAUUUUAAUUCCGUUAAUUAAUAAAAUUGGCGAAUAGUUGAUUUUUUUUUAAAAUUAUUCCAAAAAUAUGAGUUAUUAGGUAGCGAAUAAUUUCCAAAAAACCAACUAUUUACGAUUUUUCACCAUAAAAUACAAAACAAAAAACUGGGAACUUUGCUGAAGCUUCUGGAACAACGUGCGGGAAGGGACCGCGAACGAGUCAGGAAUUGGACACGUGUCGUUCAUCGAGAGGGUUACGGGUCCAUGGGGCCCUUGUGAUGUGGCGCGUUUACAAUAUGACACGUGUUGUCUAGUUCGGCAUUCCCUUGUGUGCGCACCUGGGCCUAAGUUGCUAAUGGGCCGAGUCUACAAUCCUGAUACAUUCAACAAAACCGAAGAGCUGUAAAAUUAGCUUUUUUUACUGCAGAAUAAAAAUUAUGCAAGAAAAGAAGAGUUUAAACAAGAUUAGCUCUAGAAACAAUUCAACUGAACCAAGAUUCUGAAUCCGCAGCAACUCAUUUAGUCGAAUUCGCCAUAUUACAUGCUCAAUUUUGACGAGUUUUGCUCGCUACAUUCUCCGCAUCUCACACACAUCACACACAAUUAUCUCCGUCAAAGCAACAUUCAAGAGAUCACCGCGUUGUCCAGACACGCAUUCGCUUUGCAUUCGAGCGAGAGCUGAAACACAUUUGAGAAUUCUCUAAUUAAGGAUUCAUGAGUCGCAUCCAUUAGGGUCGCAUCGUCGAUGUUCUUCACAUCUGAUUCUGUUUCCAGUAACUGUUUGAGACUACAGACCCCGCGAUCCCGAAUGCCGCAGGGGACGAUGUGCUGAAAGGGGGUUAAAUCUGCGGUAACAUUCAGUGCCAAGCCGUGAUAAGUUAGCCAUCGGGAGACACGAAUCCCAAUCGCCGCAACUUUUUGAUUCCCUUGAAUAUUUUUAGGCAAAUAAGGAGAAUUGUCAGCACGCAUUAUAUUAUUGAGAAAAAGGGAAAAAUCUAAAAAAAGUUUAGAUUGUUUAUACAUGCGACUUCGAAUUGAACUAGAUUUCGUCAGAGAAGAUACACAAGUCCAAGAUAUUUCGGUGAAGAAACUUAUUGUGUGGCAGUGGAAACUAACUUUAGUUCGGGUGAAUUAUAGCAGAGUCCCCAACCCUUUUUCUCAGUUUGAUACUUGACUUUUGAUUUGAUUACAGUUCACUACAAACAUACUGCUCUAACGAAGUUCCUUGAACAUGAUAGAUAACAAGAAAUCUAAAAUCGAUUACAUUAUGUUGAACAUGUGAAUUUAUGUCCAGUUUGGUAGAGGCAUUUGUAAACUGAGAAAGAAUGCAAAAAAUGCAUAGGUUAAGGACCCAGAUUGUGUACCGUUUGAAAACGUCGGGACUUGGGAGACCAAACUGAUAGCAGGUAAAGAUUUAGCAACUUGGCGCAAAUUACUUUCCUUGAAGUUCUUACAAGUUACACUUGAGGUUGUUCAUAUUUUAGCAUUUUCUAGGUGUGCCAUUCAUUAUGAAGCAGAUUAUUGAUAAUAUUAGAAAUAUAAGAAGCCAAAACAGUUGAAAACAAGAGAGCAAGGACAUACCAACCCAAACUCCGGUGAAAUCCUUAAGCCUCGAUGCCUUGAUAGAGAAUGUUGAAGUAAGCGCCCGGAUAAUCACUUCUUCAAGUGACCUAAGGUACCAAUGCAGAUCCAUUUUGUGAUACCGCAAAUUGAUAAUAGGGUACAUAACAAGCUAAGAGGGAAAAAGAAAAUAGAAGCCAUAAGAAAAGAGCAUCAGGAAAGCACCAAGGAACAGCAAUGGGGAGAUUCAAAGGCUUAGUUUCUCUUUUCACGCUAAUAUAUGCAUCAAAUUCAACAAACAAUCACACCAAAAAUUGUUUCUGUCUUCUUUUUUUAUGAAGGGUAUAUAUAACCACAUCAAAAUAAAGAGUUAAAUAACUACAUCAAAAUAAUAGGAAAGACAUGUUUUACUGGAAGAAUCCGGAUGUCCUUUAAGAAACAGCAGAAAUAAAUCAAUUAACUGAGAUAACCUAAAUCAAAACAACUAAAGCUUGAUGGGUUGUCAAUCAAAAUAUUAAGUUGGGUAACCUAGUCAAAAUGGACGACAAUAACACUUGAAUAACAAACCUGUCCAGGACCAUGAUACGUAACCUCCCCGCCCCGUUCAGUGCGGUAAAGAUCAAAGGGAGCAUUCUGUAUAUCAAAAUUCAGGUACUUCUCCAUACUAGCCGUACCUAGAGUAUAAACAGGAUGGUGUUGGAGAAUGAUCAAAGUGUCCGAAUAAUCUUCAUCUUUAUCUAUCAUCAUGUGUCUCUUUUUUACAACCGACUUUUGCCAAGACCAAGCCUCAUUAUAAGGAACAAGUUGUUUGUAGAGAUCAAAGCAUUCACACCUGUUAAAGAACAUAAAGAUGAUUCAUCUUGCAAUAUAAAGUGAAAUCAAGGCAGAAGUCGGUCUAGGAAAAGAUCAAAAAUGGAAUUUAGAUUUUGUCACUUAACUAAAACUAUUUGAAAUUUCAUGACUGAUAUCAGAAACACAAAGGCAUAUUGUUCUGUUUCUCUGUGACUUUAUUGACAUAACUUUUAUUAUGAGUAAUUGAAGGCAUUCUCUAAGUAAUCCAUAAAUAACAAAAUCAUCUUCACCAAUUAAUGAAGAAGUUUUAAGUUUGAACAAAAGGAAGCAUAAGGCGUCCUUAAAUCAUAACAGAUGGUAUCACUAUCGGCCCAUAAUAGGCAAUCCAAAAAUCCAUUUACACAAAAUAUAGGAAAAUAUAGCCAAAGACAAUUCAAAAUUUUGCGAAGAAUUAUGAGAAAAAUUGUCUGUGGAGCCUAGCCUCCACAAUACUAAACUAUGGAAGUGAGACCCAUAAUUAACUUACAUAAGGGCCCAUUACUCAAAAAACUUGAUGAAAAUAUUAUAAGCCUUUCCACCUAAAUUACCCUAGAAGUGCCCUAGCAGUAUCCAAACCAAACCAGCGGUUAUUAGCUCCGAGCAAUGUCAUUUAACAUACAAGGAUAGUAUAUAGAUCCUUUCUCGAACACCCUAGAUAAAAUCUAUUUAGUUAGCAACUCAACAUGAUUCAUUAAGAUGCACAUGUUUGAGCCGGAUUUGGAAUCUUCUUAAUUUGUCCAUGGUGUGUCAAAAAAAGGGGGAUUUUUGAAAUUCACGGGUGAACUCACCAGAUUUGAAGACUUUAAUCACUUUUCGGCAAAUAAAACCAGACCAAUUAAUGGUUAAUAACUAUUGUAGUCACUAUAUUUAAUAAGAUCUUUAAACCAAGUAUUCGAGUUCAAAUAAAAAAAAACAGAAACAAUGCAUAAAGCUGUUCUCAACUAUUACCCAUUUUGGUCUGACUAUCUAACCUUUAAAACUUCUUGAUUUUGCUAUGCAACGUUUUAAUUCAUUUGAUUCAACCAAGUUACUGACUCUUUAACUUUAAAUUUUGAUUGCAUUGUUUAUUUUUUGCAGAUUUAAUUACUAUAUUUUAUCCAAUUCAUGUAACUAAAACUUUAUUAAAGUAAGCAAUUACCUUAAAUUUUGCAUCGGAAAACAGUCAUCAAAUAAAUUAAAUCAAACAAAUUAAAAUGUUGCGUACUAAAAUCAAAAUUUUGAAAGAUUAGGUAGUAGAAUCAAAAAUGGUCUAUAGUUGAUGUAAGUUUUAUACAUUUUUACCUAAAAAUAAUCAAAAGUUGAGGUGUGAUCUCGAUACAAAUUUUUUUUUAAAAAAUUAUUACCUCCUGUUUACAUUGGAAACCCUAAUUGGAUUAAAGGGGCGAUGGUUCUUCCUCUUGCUUACGUGCUUGUGGGUGGGAAGUGGAGGCGUGAAGCACGGGAUUGUGGAGAUCAUUGUUUCUUCAUGCAGCUGCAAUGGAUUUGAAAGUAAAAGUAAACUUUUAAAAAAUUGUGAAAAUUUAGCAACUUUUCUACUGCAAUUUGUGAAUUUGAGCACUCAAAUUGGAGGCAAAAAAGGGGAAAAACUAAAUCGAUCAAAUAAAACAACAAAAGAAAAAUUAAGCAAAAAACGGGACGAAGAAAUCGAAAUUUUUUGGGGGGAGAUUUGAGAAGAAUCUACCUGAGAUCAGAGACCGAUAGGUUUGUAGUAUCCGAUUUCGAAAUUCCUCCCAAAGAGAGCGAGAGAGAGAGAGAGAGAGAGAGAGAGAGAGGAGACGCGGGAGAAGGGGUUUCUAGGGUUUGGACUCGACGGAGAUGCCACAAGGGAAUGAGGAAACAUGUGACGUCAUUGCCUGCACCGGGUGUAUAAUUAGAUGCUGUACACCCGGUGCAGCGCCUAUUGAGCAAUGCUGCACUUAUAAAUAAAUAAAGGGAAAUUUUCAAAUUCCACUCAUCUGGUUUUACACUUUCUCACUUUAGUAAUUUUAAAUACUACCAUGUGGUUUUACACUUUCUCACUUUAAUACCAUGUGGUUUAAAAUGUGUCAAUUUAGUGCCAUGUGAUUUUAUUUUUAUCUUUUUAUUAUUGAUUCUACUAUUUCUUUUCGUUAAAUUAGUGACAACAUUAAAACAAAAUGGUACUAAAGCGAAUAUUCGAUAAAUCUAGGUGGGGUUCUGAAUUUUUUUGUAUGUAAUUUAACGAAAUAUUAACGGAAAGGCUAACGAAAAGAUAAAAAUGAAAUCACAUGACACUAACUUGAUACAUUUUAAACCACAGGGCACUAAAGUGAGAAAGUGCGAAACUACAGGAGUGGUAUUUGAAGUUUACCCAUAAAUAAAUUUUACAGUAUUUUAUAAACUAGCAUACCUUGACGGUAUUGAAUUGGUAGAGAUAUAUAGAUCACCAGAAAGUAUACUAGUAGUAUUGCUCUUGCUCUUUGUUAUGUAAAAUGAUAGAUAUAUCGCACCCUAAACAGGGACGAAGCCGGUAAUUAAAAUCCUGGGGGGCAAGAUUUAAAUUUGACAAAAAAAAAUUAAAUUUGAAUAGUAAGAAAAAGAGUUUGUCUAGUUUACUGGUCAUCUAUUACUAAUAACAAUAGCGAAAAUGUGUUUAAGGAGGAUCUAGUAAGACUAUAAGAACUGAAAGGAAAGGACCAAGGGGUUCGAAAAAAAUUAGAACAUAAAAGUUUUAUUAAAAAAAGAUUAACUUGGCUCUCUUCAAACUAAAAUUCAUAGUAUUUUAAUUUUUACUCUAAAAUACUUCUAUAUAAUUUUUAAAAGUUGAGAAAGGCCAUGGCCACCGUGGGCCCCACAAUGGCUCCGUCUCAGACCGUGAAAGAAGUAUAUGAUUUAUAGUUUUUGCAUCUAAAAUUCACAAAGCUCUUAAAAUUUUGAGUAUUUAAAACAAUAAAAUGUUUACAAGAUAAGACCUUUGAAUGAUAGAGUGUAAAAUAUUUUCUUUUUUGAGUGUAUACUAAAGACACUGCUCAAAAUUUAUAUAUUGAUUCUCAAACAUUGCUUAAAAAUAAAUAUAAAAAAUAUAUUAUAUUCAUUUUUUUGGUGUACAUGUAGUAUUUUUUAUCUAAAUAAUGAACAAAACAUAAUGAAAUACAUUUUUCCACAUUUAUAUGUAAUCUGUCAACUUAUAUAUUUUUUAUUAAAGUUUUGCUAUCAAAUUUAUGUCAUAAAAUAAGAACCAAUUUCAACAAAAGCUUUACUCGUUUUAUAACUUUUUAUUGAAAUUUCUGAAGUGCUUAAUUUUAGUGUCACAUUUUCUUUUUUUAUUUUUUUGAAUUUUUGUAAGUUUAUGCACGAAAGACUCAUUGUUACUACACUCAUUAUAGAAUAUAAUAAGCACCAUCUAUCACUAGACUUUGUAAUAAUUUGGUAAAAAUGUGCAGAGAAUCUCUCAACAAUUUUUUUUUCGCUUUUGCCUUUUCUAUUUUUCCUUACUCUUUGCCAGUUUAUUCAUGAUGUUUACCUAACUACCUCAGAACUAAAUUCAGUUUUUUAUUGAAUGAAGAAGAUAUGAUGCUACUUUUGUCUCAAAAAAUUUUUUUUUUUUUUUUUAUUGAGACUUCUCAACUUUUAUUUUCUUAUUUAAGUUUUUAUACUUUAUUAAUCUAAAAAUUUUAUUAAAUUUAAUGAUUCUAUUAGUUAAUAAUUAUUUUUUAACCUAAUUUUUUUUUCACUAAAAAGUGAUUAUUAUUGAAUUUGAUGAAUUUAUUAAUGAAUUUAAUAAAAUCUUUAAUUUUUUAAUUAAAAUUACUUAACCUAAAAAAAAUAGAAGUUGAAGUUAAUUAUUAAAUUCAAUUAAUUUAACAAUAAACUAAUAAAACUUUCAAAUAUUUGAAUUAAAAUCACUUGUAACUUUUAAAAAAAUAGAAGUUAAAAGCAUCUCGAAGAAAAAAGUUGAAACCAAUUCCAAUCACAAUUUUUAUUUUCAUAAUUUUCGGUCCAAAUUUUUUUUUGUCUUAAAAGUAACACGAAUCACAUUAUUAUAAAUAAUUUAUCUAUAAGUACUUUAUCUAUAUCUAUAAGUAUUUUAUCUCUAAUUAACUCUUUAAUGAGAGUUUAUCAGAAGUGCCAUAGUUAAUUAUAACGGUAGUAUUGUACAGUAAAUUUCUUUUACUUGUAUACAUAACUUUUUCCUUUUUUACUGAGCGAUCUUUAUGAAUUUAUUUAUUUUCAUCAAUAUAUUUCGUUGCAAUGGUCAUCAUUGCGAGCACGGGUCUACAGAAAGGUGCUUGUUUGGAGAACUAAAAUGGAAGAUGAAUAAUGGUGUGCUUGAUUGGAGGGUGACAUUUUCGAUGGAAGCAAUGGUGUGCUUGAUUGGAUAGUGCAAUGGUGUGCUUGAUUGGAGGGUGACAUUUUCGAUGGCAGCAAGUCGCCACAUUGGUGUUCCCACUCAACUCCAUUCAUUUAUCUAAUUUUUCAGGUUUGUUUCUGAUCGAGACAAAAUAAGUUCAAUGAGGUACUAUCCGACAGAAUCAUAUCUAAUUUUUCAGGUUUGUUUCUUGUUGAGACAAAAUAAGUUCAAUGAGGUAGUCGAGACAAAAUAAGUUCACUGAGGUACUAUCAGAAUCAUAUCUAAUUUUUCAGGUUUGUUUCUUAUCGAGACAAAAUAAGUUCAAUAAUCAGCGGUUGGGGUUACCACUCAAUUCAAUUCAUCUGUCUAAUUUUUUAAGUUUGAUUCUUGCUGAGAAAAAAUACAAUUUGCUGCUGAAGUUUUUCAUCUUUACAGAUAAAACUAUCUAUAUUUCUCAAGCAUCUUAUUUUAUUUUCAGUUAUAAAAAAUUUAUAUUUAUUUAAUUUAGAAGCGAACUGAAACUAUAUCAUUAUUAUUUUAGUUUCCUCUAAUAUCUCAAUGCAAAAAUUAUUUGAUAAAACACAUAGUUUUUAAUAGGAAAGAAAGGUUUAUGGAUAAAAAUAUAAUUUUUACUGGCAAUUAGAUUUCUAACCUUUCACUAUUUAUAGUAGUCUGUACUAAUGUGAUUCACAAAUAUAGUUUCCAAAUAGAAUGAAAAAAAGGCAUGAUUGAACAUACAAAUUCUAUUUCAUUAUGAAUAAUUAUAUAACAUGCAUGCAUUUGUGAUGUUUUGGUUACAUUGAAGUGCCGGUAGAGGGGGGCAUGGUCACCCCUGCAUGAAGAAUCACCCGCUGUUUAUAAGCGCGGCGGUGAUAUCUUAUGUGCACAAAAGGACGACCUAAUAAAAUCUCCUGCAAACUUUAAAAACUAAAAAAGGAAUGAUAGUUUCAUCUAACAGGAACUGUUACAAACUUUAAAAGCCGAGCUUCAUACAAUCUUAAAAAUAACACCAUUACAAACCUCUAAAACUGCGCUUUAAACACUUGUUUAAUUGUGUCAAAAAUGAGGAUUCGACGUCUAGAAUUCAAGAUAGAUAUGAAACAACUGACUCACCAGACCAAGUUCGUUGAUGGGAAGCAAAUAAUUGAGCUGGGAAUAACUGCAUUAGUACCGGCGUCUUCUACUGGUAUGUGUACAGUUUGUUUGGACUGAUGGAACUAACUAGUUUUGAUCGUCGCAAAGGAUGAUGCUACCAUAUCACGUCCAACAAGGAAAAUCUUGUACCGCGUGGGACGUCAAAGACAUGAACUGCAAAUGUGAUUUUCAUCCUGUAAGGCUUCUAGUUCGACUAUUCCAAAGUACUUGGAUAAUAUGGAUUGGAUAGAUCCCAGGUCUUGGUCUGCUACUUUUCACCAAUAUCUAAAGGAAUUGAUGUUAUUAGAGCAAAGCUAUUUUGAGAAGCGCCAAUUGCUUCCUAGUUGAAAUCAUCCUCAAAGCUUCUCGCAAUCUUGCUGCAGUAAAAGCAGAAGCUUCAAAUCAAAUCAUACCAGGUCUUGGGUCUCGGAAGCUCCUUUAGCUUUCUUGUUACAACAAAGUCUUUAGGUUUUCUGUUAUUUGUGUCGAAGAUCUGGGUAUCGCUUCUUGAAGUAGAGAAGUUUUUUCUGAAAGCAAAUAAAAAUUUAAUCCCCUUUCACAUUUGCGCCCAUUUCAACCAUCUCCGCCUUCAACCUUUCCACCAUCUGAAUAUUGCCGACCCUCUCAUAAGCCGUAAUAAACGAAUCAUACACCUUCUCACCGGCCUCGAACCCCUUUCCGGCCAUCUCCGCCUGAAGCUUCAGCGCCGCCUCCACCUCCCCCUUCUCGCAGAACCCCCGAAUCAAAACUUGGUAGCUCUUCCGACUCGCAGCAAACCCUUCCCUCCUCAUCUCCUCCCGCAAAAUCUCCAGCGCUUCGGCAACCAUCCCCCUCUCACGCAUUUCGUCGAGCAGUUGGUCUGCGCUCGAAACUUCCAUUCCGAAUCCCUUUCUCUUCAUAUCUCUAUACACAAGCAGCGCCGCGUCGACGUCUCCGACCUUACAAUGGCCUCUGAUCAGGCGAUCGAAGGUCGUGGCCGUGGGCGCGAUCCCGUCCAACACCAUCUCUCUGAAGAGCUCUUCGGCUUUGCCCAUCUCUCCCGCUCCACAGUAUCCGCCGAUCAGAGUGUUGAACGCUACGAUAUCGGCUCUGAUCCCCUUCGCCGCCAUCUCCUCCCACAACUGCCGAGCCUCGUCGAGCGAUCCGCGGUCACAGAGCCCGGCCAUCAGGAUGCUGUAGGUGUACGCGUUCGGAGCGCAGCGAACGGCGUCCAUCUCGUUCCGGACUUGGACGGAUCUCUCCGGCUUGUUCUCGCGGUAGAGGGAGAGGAGGAGGGCGUUGAAGGUGCGGACGUUGGGGGAGGCCCUAGCGCCGACGCAGCCGAGGCCGCGGGAGUAGAUCUCGCGGUAGAUUCGGAGGGCGGCGUCGGAGCCGAGGGAGGCGGAGACGGAGCGGAGGAGGGAGGCGGCGGCGGCGGGGGAGGGGCGGUGGCCGCGGGAGGCGAGGAGGCGGAGNUUUUUUUUCCUCGUUUGAUUAUUGUGUUAUAGAAAUAAUUUCAAUCAUACAUUUGCAUGAUAUGCGACUUCUUUUAAACAAUAUUGAAUAGUUUUGUUGAACGAUUACUUUUUUUUCAUUAUAAUUUUAUUUUUUAUAGUUGUUUGUUUAUAAUAUAGAUUAUAUUUAUUAUUUUUUAUACUAAACUGAUAUUUUUUUUAUAAUUUUUUAUUUUAAUAGUAUCUAUUCGUCGUAAUAUAUGGGUCACUACACUUAUUUCUCAACGUACCACAAUGAUCGUGCUGCACGUGUCACUUAUUAAGCAUGUCUGCGCUAUACGUCGACAAGUACCAUGUUUGUUUGCAUGCGAGUAUGCAUGCAACUCCACAUGCAGACACAUGUGGUUCUGCGUACGUCGACACCUUCGAACGUUGCACUCUAUUUAUACCUUAAUAACACUACCCACUCUUGGAUCCGGUCCACUAGCAAUCCACCGGGAUCGGGCUCAGGCCCGGCUCGGAGUUCGACCCGCGGGUUUUGAACAGGAUGGGACGACGACGACGACGACGACGACGACGGUGAUCGUAGCGUCAGGUUGGUCCUCAGAUCCCAGUUUAUUCGGAUCGGCGGCGGCGGCGCCAUGGACGGUCGGAGCACAUGUAGGAGAGUCGUGGUUAUGGAACAGCUACUACUGUUUUAGUAGUAUUCAACUGUGGUAGUUAACGUUGUUAAGUGAAAACCAAAAACAAAGGCUAAAACGUAAUGGUUGAAGAUCUUAGUUAUCUUCAUUUCAAUCACCAUUGGCAUAGCUCAUUUAGAGCUUCUUACAUUUAAGAAUAAAUACAUAAACUUCAUCUUAGUUAUUUUCAUUUCAAUUAUCAAUCAAUUUUUUUUUCAAAAAAAAUAUAAAAUAUGAACUCAGUUCAAACAUUAAUCUAUAAUCUUUAUGUAAAAAAGAAAUGAACGAGGCAAACAAUGUGCAACCUAUCUCCAGAAAAAAAAAAAGGAAAAGAAAAGAAAAGAAAAGAAAAGAAGCUAGAAUCUUUAUUUUCACACCUAAGGCAGGAUUGGUUCUCUCGUCCCAGUAACGCAGCAACAAAUUAUUUCAUGGACUAAACCACAUCAAAUAAAAUACAAAUUAUACCCCAAACAUGUAAUAUUCUUAUAAUGCACUUUUAGGUUAUGGUUGCUAUAGAAGCUGAUCUGUAAAAAAAAAUUUAGAAGGAUGAGAACCUAAUAAUACACCUAAAAGGAACCAAUUCCUCUAGCUUUGUUUAGCUGAGAGCUAAGAAUAAUAUGAUGUGUUGAGCAUACACCACUGAUGCCCAAUUGCACUCAAUUAUUGUAUUCACUAUCCUCUGUGUUGUUCCCUCCAAGGAUAAUUUAUCCCCACCUUUAGAAGCAUUAUUUUAGUGGGGAAGAUGCAUCAACAAAGAUCAUUCUGAAGAUCAGCUGAAUAUUUACACCCUUAUCUUAAAUACUAACUCAUUUUUAAUUGAUGUAACAUUAAUCAACACACUUCUAAAAUCAAAAUUUACUGGUAACUUUAUGAUCUGUUAUCGAUCACAUCAUUAAAGAAGAACGAACAAAUCGUACUAUCUCACAGUGGGGAUAUUAGUGGUUAAUUUUUUGUUCUCUUUAACAACACAUUGAUGAAUAUACAAACAUAUAUAUUUUAAAAAAGGAAAUCAGAUUGAUGAGACCCUAACACACCAGCAAGAACUAAUUCCUUCCUUUGUAGAGAAGCUAAAGAAUAAUCUGAUGUCUAAAGCACACAUAAAAUUAAUGCCAAAAUGUAGACGAUUAGAUAACACAAAAUCUACUAGGUAGUUCCCUUUGAGGAUAACUUACUUAAUCCAUCUCUAGCAGAACCAUUUUGGUGGGGCUCAUCAACAAAAGAUCAUUCCCACAAUCAGCAUCUAAUAAUUAUUCAGAGGAAAUAGAAAAGAGAAUGAUGCUUCAUUUUAUGCAAAGCUGAAAUAAACUAAAUAAAAGAGUGAAAGCAGAAGCAAUAGGAGAAUUCUACAAAAAAGUUUUUAGAGCUUCUUUAAAUAAAUCUACCUAAUACCACUCUUGUAGAAACAACACAAGCAUCAAAUACACUUCCAUAGUCACCUCAAAAGUUACUAGUGGGCUAAUAUUGUUCCUCAUUAUUGAUACAAAGAAUCCCCUACAAAGUUAAUUCUUAAGUUUCUAGUAGUGCCUCCCAUACCUGUAAUAUUCUUGUUCUCAUUUUAAUGUUUCAAUAAUAAGAGCAUUAACUUUCCCUUUUAGAAUAGCAAAUUGAUUAGACUCUGUAAGGCACAAGUGAAGAACCAAUUCCUCCCUUGGAUAAGCAAAGAACAUAGAAUAGUCUGAUGUGUAGAGCAUAAGCCAACUAUUACCAAGAUGUAAUUACAGAAUCAUUCGUAACGGCGGUGUUUGGUUCGGAAAUAAGGGAAGAGAUAAGCCCUUGUUCCCGUUUUGUUCCCACACGCCGUAUUUGGUACUAUUUUUGGAAUAAGUUGGUAUAAGACUGGAACUAUUGUUCUAUCCUUUUUUUGUGGAACAAACUUGUUUUUAGGUAGGGACAAGAUUAAUUAAAGUCUAAAUUUAAUUUUAAUUAUAGUAUUAAAUCACUAAUUAAUCUAAUUAACAUAUUUCAAUUAUUAUUUAUUGCUUAAAUAAUAAAAUAAUUAAUUAAUUUAUUAUUUAUAAUUAAUUAUUAAUAAUUUAAUGUAUUUAUUCAUAAACUAAUAUUUAUAUUGAUCAACCAUUAAUAUUUCUAUUAAUCUAGUUAGUUUUUUUUUACUAGUUAUUUAGCUAAAAUAAUUUACUAACUAAUUAAAAAGUUAAAUUAUUUUUUAUAAUUAAUUAAUUAAUUAAUAUAUUUUUAUUAUCUUAGAUAAUAUUCGUAGCUAAUAAAUUUAUUAAUUUAUUAAAUUAUUUUUAAAUAAUAUUUUGAUGUUAAUUAAUUAGAUAAAAUAAUUUUAAUUUAAAAUUAUAAUUUUUUUUUUGUUCCAAUCAAACAAUUUAAAUACUAUUUUCCUUAUAUUCCUAUAAACAAUCUAAUUUUCAUCCAAACGUAAAAUUGAUCUAGUUUCUGCUUAUAUCCGAACUUAUACCUAUCCCUAGAAUAAACAGUUUUUCUUACACCUGAACCAAACAUAGCCUACGGAAAUAAUUAUCCUCAUCCCCUAGCUAUUUAUUAAGGUGUAUGCUAUUCACAUACUUUGCGGCAAUAGAUAGACGAGUAUGAUUGGAUGUUAACAAUGGCAUAUCAUAUAUGCCUUUUGAAGUCAUUUUCCCACAAUAAUAUUAAUCACUUUGUAACUGAAAUGCAUUGUCCUAAAAAAAAAAAAUCACAAAAUACCAAGAUCUUGCAAUGAACUAAAAGUAAACUCUGUAGGUUGCACACACGAAUGAACACUCAAUAACUUGUUCUAACAUCUAGACAAGUCCUACAAGAAUACAUUAAUGAAAUCCUUUCCACAAAAUUAAAACAGAAUAAAAGAGAAAUGAUGUACCCUAACAUCCAACAUAAAUAUAAAACAUGUUGUGGCUGAGAUUGGUGAAAGAGAUGGUGUUAGAUCAACCACAAACUAUCAAAUCAACAACUCAUGAAUUUGACAGACAUUAUCUUACAUGCACAUAAAAUGGUCGUGAAUAUAGCAUUUUGUUGAGGGAAAGGAAAAAGCCCUGGACUCUCGGAAAAAGGAAAGGAAAAAAAUUUCACCAUAGGUCCCAUGAAAAUAGAAUUCCAAGUUUUAGGUACUCAAAAUAAGCUCAUCUGAAAGGCAUUUUUUCAGUACACCAUCAGUUGCCAUCAGAAUCCAAUUAUUUCUAUCAAAAGGUUUGCUUGAAAUCUCAUUGAAUUCCAUCACAGAAAUUGCAAAAAACUCCAGUUAUUUCACAUAGUAUCAAAGUAGGAAUGCGUAAUAUCAAAGCUGCAAAGCUUAUUUUCGAAUAGUUCAUCCAUCAUAUAAUCAGAAAUGUCCAUCCAUUUGACUGAAAAUUCACAUCUUGAAAAAUUCUCUCUCGAAGCCAAGGAUGAAGCAGAGAGUCUGACAUAUAGCUUAAAUAUUUAGCUCAUAAACAAGCUUUUAACAUUAACCUCCCUAAAAGAAACUCAACUAUCUGAUGAGGUAGGCUAAAAUACUUACUUUACAAAUCAGUUGUUUCACAUAACCUCUCUAAAAGAAACCCAAAAAUAUCUGACGAGGCAGGUGGAACCAAUACUUAAUCAUACCAAGAUGCCAUGUCCCCUCUAUUCUUGUCUUACACAUAAUCCACUAUUCAACGAGUGCAUAAUGCUUUUCUCUUUCCCGAGUACAUAUUCCAAACACCCUUCUGCUUCAAGCUAAACCUGGUCCCUAUUCCUACUUGUUCUAGUUCUUUCUAUAUAUUCAACCCAAACACACCAAAACCAUUUAACUCAACUCUCCAUUCUCAUAUUAUUUGAUGCUUGUUCUUCUUCUUCUUCCAUAUUAGCCUCUACUGAUCAUUCCUUGAUGAAGUACGGCGAGAUUACCCACUUCAGCCACCCGCAGCACAAGCUGCGAUAUGAGUACUCGGAGAUCCCCUUCAAGUGCGAUGGGUGCAAAGAAGUUGGCAUCGGCACCCGCUUCAAGUGCAGCACGUGCGAUUAUGAUCUCCACAAACAGUGCGCGCUGCCCUCGCCGACAGCACCCUCACCAACUAUCAUCCGCCACCCUUUCUACCCUAAAUGCACGUUCCAAUUCAUGGCACGCGCACCAGGUGGGGAGGGGUCACGGUACUGUAAUGCGUGCGGACGCGAUGUGAGAGGGUUCGUGUACCAUUGCCGCGCGUGUGGGUUCGACCUGCACCCAUGCUGCGCAGCGCUCCCACAAGUGCUGGAGGCUGGCGGCGGUGGCAGGGACGGUCAGGUGGUGCGACUGUACUUAUACCGUAAGGUUGGGGCUGCAUGCCACCAGUGCGGAAGGAAAGGACAUGGUUGGAGCUACCGGAGCGGGUGCAAGAACUACAACCUCCAUGUUGCCUGCGUGACAGAGAUGCUAGUUGACAGCUGGUAUGAGAUCUAUUAUGGUGUGAAUAAUGGAGGGAAUAGCAGCUGGAAUAACAAUGGGACGAGGGGAAUAGCGGGGGCGAAUAACAGUAAUGGAGGGAUGUAUGGUGUGGGUGGGAAUAGUAAUAGGAUUCCGAGCAUAAGAGGGGUGGGGAAGAAUCACUACAGGGGAAAAGGGAAGGUGAAGAGGUGCUGCGAGCUGGCAGCGAUGGCGGUGCAGGUAAUCAUAUCUGCUGUGCUUGGUGAUCCAACUGCUAUUAUCGCUGGAGUUAUUGGGUCGUUCAUCUCCAGAUGACGAUAAUGUGUGAUCAAAGAGAGAAGAUCUACUGUUUAUUAAAGCUAAUCAAGAGGCCAAACUUUUCUAGUUUAAGUGACUUCAAUGACAUACCUGGUACUUGAUCAAAGUAACGAAAACAGCGAAGUCGUGUAUAGAUCUGAGUGUUUUAUUACUUCGAAAAAAUUCCAGUCCUACUUUGCACAAAAAAGAAAGAAAAAAAAGGAAAAGGAUGCCUGAAAUGCAAAAAAGAUGAAUAACUACACACACAAGCCUAUAGAUGUCCUAAGGAGGGAAAUUUGGCCAACGAAACUUUGACGAAUGAAGAAAAAUAUAUGAGCCAUGUGCACUGAUAGGCCGUUUGGUUGUAUGUAAUCAAAAAUCCAGUAUAGUUAAAAAUAUAUGCAGUUGGAAAUGCAACAUCUACAAUUACAUGCAUCUUAUUUGGUCAGAUGUAAUAGAAAGCGAUGCAAAUAUAUAUAAUUUGUUCGGUUGGAUGUAAUUAAUAAGUGCAUUUCCAAAAUUUCAUCAUUUUAGAUAUGUGGUGGCGAGAUUACCUUUAGCAUAAACUUAACUUUUGUUUAAAAUUACUUCUACAAUUGCUGCAGUUGGAAUUGCGGUAACUUUGGACGUAGUUUCAACAAUUACAGUUGGAUCUCCUUGUGCAAUCUCAAUUGCAGUUGAAUUCAAAUGCAUCAAACUAAACACCGAAUUUGAAUUUGUAUAGAGUUACAGUUGCACUACAUGCAACCAAAUAGCUCCUAAGAGAAAUUGCAAAUUCUUCCUAUAGUCAUAAUUUAGGAUAGAAGAUUACUACCUAUAUAGAACACAACUGUUUUUACUCUAUUGCAUUUGCAAGAAGCUUCAAAGAUCCAGCACAAAAUAAUUCAAUACACGAGUAACGCUACAGUACCUCUCGAGGAAUCUUAAAAUAUUGUUGAUAAAUGAGCAUAAUACACAUGGAAGCUAAUGAUUGGUUUAAUUUUUUCGGUUUCAAACAUGUCAAUUGUUAAGACAUCAAAUCUAAAAAGGUAAACCAAUCACUAGUUGCAACAUAUAGAAAGCCAACUCGUCAAGAACAUGCUCUGUCUGAGAUACAUUAAGUAUUAAUCUUAAGGUAAAAACGUACAAAACUUACCUGAACUAUGAAUCAUUUUGAUUUUGUUAUCCAACCUUUCAAUUUGUUUGAUUUAAGUCAAUCAACGGCUUUUAGCUUAAAUUUUGAAGUCAAAAGUAUCGUUGACUGACUCAAAUCAAACAAAUUAAAAGGUCGGAUAGUAAUAUCAAAAUUUUGAAAGGUUAGGUUGCUGAAUCAAAAUAGUUCAUAGUUCAGUAAGUUCUAUACGUUUUUACCUAAUCUUAAUUCAAGUGCGCAUAAAAAUACCUGAUAUACGACAGACUCAAAUCUUAACAACAGUCUUGAAAAGUGAGAAUUUCCAAAAGCAUGAGGCAAAAUUGUCCAGACACACAAUAAAUCCCUCAGAAAGAUCUGACCACCACAUCUGUUGAGACUUCUUCAUGUUUGUAGAAGUGACUACACAUCUUGCAUCCAAAACAGUAAAAUCUGGUGAAAGUCUCUAAUUCUACACAAUAUAGUCCACUUUAUUGUCACUUUUGCCCAUGCUUGCUUAUAUAAAACUCUUACAUACUCAGCAAGAAAUACUUGCUUACUAUUAGGCACUAGCAUUUCAAGAGUCCUGCUUGCUCUUGUAAUGUACAUUAACCCGCCUCAUUCAAAGCACCUUGAGUAGGAUCAACAUCAACAAUCCAUAACACCAAUCAACAUCAACUGUUUUGAGUGUUUGGUUAUAGGCACUAACUAAAUAGCUUAUUUAGGAGAAAACUAUGCAACGAAUCAUGAACUAGUUAGCCACUGGCCUAGCCUUGUAGUUGUUAACAAGGUUGCCGUCUUAGAUGUUGGGAGUUUGAUCCCAGCUUGUGCUUUAACCAAAAGGGCUCAUGCCCCAGGUUUCUUGGGAAUCAAAAUAGUAUAUGUAUUAAGGGGUUUUGGUGUGGAGGCCUACGGAUGAAAUAUUUUGAUUAAAUAACUUAAAAAACUCAAAUCAUAAAAGUUAUUGAUAAAGAGAAGAAACAAGCAUCAUGACAGCGAUGGUCAAUGAACCGACUACCGCACAAAAGAAGUUGAGCUUAGGGAUGACACUCCUAAUAAACUUUGCCUUAUCCAAUUAAUACAAGAGCAAGAAAGCAAAGGCUCGGAUAGAAAAUAUAUCAAAGGAUGGAAAAGAACAUGCUAAUAAAACUUUAUAUUAUAUCAACAAGGAAUAAGGAACAAUAAUGCUACCACAAUGCAAAAACAAAACAGUUACUAUUGGCAUCUUAAUAGUUCACUCUCAUCAAACAAUCUUACUUGUAGCUAUACAAUUAUGUUCUCUUAGUAAAAACUAAUGAUUAAACACAAACCCUAUAAAAUCAAGGGAACAAAGAAAAUAUUUCUUUCCCCAAAGUCCAAAUAAUGAGCUAAAAAGCCAACAAACAUCAGUAAUAAAUAAUAAUUAUCUAAUGCAACACUUGUUCUGCACAAGAAGCGCUCAAAUAGAGACCAAAUUUCACAAUCUGGAAACACAACGGCAUACAAAACUGUCAAGAGACAAAGCACAGCUUAUUCAUCAUCAUGCAAACACCCUAUGAACAAUUUUUCACACAAAAGCCAAGUAUACUGCUUAUAACAGAACACUGAUGAAUACAGAAAAUAAAACUAAAAAUCAUUCUUUGUUCGCAUCACCAGAAACAUAUUAACAUGGCACAAACUAUAUAGCUAAAAUGCAACAAGGCUAGCAACAACAAGCAUACCAACCAGAAUCAGCAAAGCCUUGAGAUAAACAUCUGCCUGCUGCUGCUGCGGCCCGCCUUGAGCGGCAUGCCGCGGAUACGCAUGACCAUGCCCACCAUGAAAUGAAUGACCAUAACCAUAUGGAAACCCUGCACCCGGUCCAUAGGCCGCUGCAUCGGGAAGACCGUGCACCUGGAAACUCAACAGAGGGAACAAACCACCAAUGGCGGCGGAGAAUGUGUAGUUCCCCCACCUCCCGCCAGCCACCGGGGCUCCACCACCCAUGAACCAUGGGUUCGGUUGAGCGUAAUGGUUCGGGUCUGAGUGGGGGGCCGUAGGGGGCCGCUGCCCGGCUGGACGGUUCGGGAUAUUGACACCUGGCACCGACUUGGACCGCGGGUCGGUAGGGUUCUUGCCACGCCCAUAGAGAGGGACGAGCUUGUCCUCUUCUACUAUGGCUUUGCAGACUGGGCAUUCAGGAGAAUGGGAGUGAACACGGAGCCACUUGUAUAAGCAGGGCCAGCAGUAGAGGUGCCCACAGAGGGUAACUAUAGGGUCUUGGGCGAGCUCGAAGCAGAUAUUGCAUUCAAAGCUACCCGCUUCGGAGUUGUUGUUGUUGCUUCCAGAGGUGCUCGCGGAUUCACCGUAGUUGCUAGCCAUUUAUGAACCCUCAAAAUUUAUACACUGCAAUAGCAAAAAGGAACUGGAUCAGUUUAUGAUAUGAUUCGUUAUAAAGAAAUGAAUGUGCAAGAAAUUAGUAUUAAAAAACUCAUUUGGAAGAUAUCAUGCUAUGAAGGAAACCGCAAGUAUUUUAUAAGAUUCACAUAAAAAGGAAAAUUAUCAUUAUAUACAACCAUAUAAAGGAAAGUUCAAAGAGAUGUUUAAUAACAAUGUGCUAACCUCAUAAAACUUCUAAAAUUCUAUAAAGAUCAGGUAGAAAUUUUUCUCAAAAAAAAAAAAAAAAGAUCAGGUAGAAAUUGACGAAGAAAUUCCCAAACUGACAUACAACCAAAAUUAAUACAAGCAAAAGUCAAGAUCAAACAAAACAUAGAAAGCAAUCAAGAAAAACACAUGCAAAACCCUACAUCAAAAUUAAUAUACAUGAUAUCAAAAUACCUAUAAAGAAAUCAGAAGUCUAGGGAGCUAAUUUUAUAGACGGAUUACAAUCCACAGAGUAAUUUAAUAUGAAGAAAGAAAAAUCGACAAAAAAAACAUUACAUAUUGUGACGAAAAUAGCAACAAAUCUGAUGAAUCGGAACCCCAGAUUAAAGCAAUAUUUGAUAUAAACAUCACAAUCAGGAAAUACAAAUCUAAGGAAACCCAAUUCACAGGCAUAAUACAAUCCACACACUAAAUUUGUCAAAAAUAAAAGAGAAAAAAGAAAGAGAAAUCGACAAAAUAUUCAUAAUUUAUCACGAAAAAAGCAUCAAAAUUAGCGAAUAGAACCCUAAACGAUAAUAAAAUACCAGUUAUAGCAGAAAGGAGGGCGAAAAUUACCUAAAAAAUCGUGACAAACGCGUGUGCGAAGAUCUCCGGACUCUUGAAACGCAGCAAUAAAUCACAAAUCUAAGGAGACCCAAUACACAGGAAGAUAACAAAUUUACAAUCAACACACUAAAUUAAUAAAUAAACAAGAAAAAGAGAGAGAAAUCGACGAAAAAUUCAAAAAUUAUAACGAAACAGGCAUCAAAUUUAACGAAUCGAAACCCUAGAAAUGACAAAAGUGAAGAUAAUACUAUACUUAUGAAAUGUCGAAGAAAAAGAGAAGGGAAAUUACCAAAAAAAUCACGAGAAGCGCGUCAACGGAGAUCUCCGGUCUCUGCUUCCCCGAAGAAUCGAAAAAAUGGGAAAAAAACGACGAAGGGGAACGACGCGACCAGCGAUGGAACCUUCGCGAUCUUUUCCUCCGCUCCCUCCGCUGUAUCGGAUCUUUCGGGGGGUCUUAUCGGGUCUCGGUGAUAUUUUCUCGAAUCCGAAGGGUGCGGUGGCAUCGGCGAAUGAAGGAAUGACACGUGGCCAGCAGGAGUGUGGGCCCCACAGGAUGACACGCUGGACAUCGCCGGUUAGAUUCGGGUGAGUUGGGCCUGGCCCAAGUUGGGGCCCACGGCGAGAUAGAGCGGUGCUCCUUGGGCCCAAGGAUUAGCGAAGAGGAUUGUGAAAUUUGCAAAAAAAAAUAAAAAAACGUAAAUAUUAUUACCAAAUUUGAAAGAUCCAUAUCUUUAGAGUGGGGGCUUUUUUUGCAAAUAGCCCCCUAACUAAUUUUAUUUUUAAAAUUGGCCCUGUCAAAAUUUUAUUUACAAAAAUGGCCCUGGCCCCGCCACGCAAGCUGCACGUCAGCGCCACGCGGGCGGGGCUGGGCCAUGUGUUUAAGUUGAACACGGUGAACCAUUCACCGUGUUCAAUACAAGGUUUUUGUAUUAGACACGGUGAAUGGUUCACCGUGUCCAAUACAAAAUGGUUAACUGCGAGGUAUUUGUAUUGGACACGGUGAAUGAAUCACCGUGUCCAAUACAAAUAAUUGAACACGGUGAAUGAUUCACCGUGUCCAAUACAAAAACCUUGUAUUGAACACGGUGAAUGGUUCACCGUGUUCAACUUAAACACAUGGCCGAGUCCCGCCCGCGUGGCGCUGACGUGCAGCUUGCGUGGCGGGGCCAGGGCCAUUUUUGUAAAUAAAAUUUUGACAGGGCCAAUUUUAAAAAUAAAAUUAGUUAGGGGGCUAUUUGCAAAAAAAGCCCUUAGAGUUGUAAGUGAAAAAUUAGAUAAUUUCGCGAUGUUGGUGCCAAAAAAAUAUGUGACACGUCGACUCUCUCGGAAUCACGAGUUGAACGUCUCAAAUUCAUAAAAAACAACUAAAAAUUUUAGGGAAUCGUUAGAUUCGAUGUAAUUACAAAUACAUUAUAGUUGAAAAUGCAUACAGUUAAAAAUACAAUAGUUAUAAUUACAUAUAUUAUGUUUGGUUGGAUGUAAUAGAAAGUGCUGCAAUUAUAAAUAAUUUAUUUAGUUAUAUGCAGUCAAGAAAUAAUUUUUUAAAAUUUUAUCAUUUUAUGUAUAUAUGAUUGUGAGAUUACCUCCAAUACAAAAAAAAUAGCUUUUAUUAAAAAAUAUUUAAAAAGGUAAGGUUAUUUUUUAUUUAAAAUUACUCUUCUAUAGUUGAAACUUUAGCUAAUUUGGACCUAGUUCCUACAGUUUCUACUACAGCAGUUGAAAUUAAAUGCAUCAAACCAAACACUGAAUUUAUAUUUAUAUAUAGUUACAACUCCCGUACAGUUACAAUUAUAUACAAUCAAACAAUCCCUAAAUAAAAUA